GUCCACACUAAUAUGUUAAGUGUUGUAAGAUUAAUACACACAGAAAAUGCUAUGUGGUGUAUACUAAUUAGCCAUUUGAUAUACUUGGUGCCCAAAGUGUAUACAUGGCAAAAAGAUAUUCAUGUAUCACACUUUGGGCACAAGUGUGUACAACUAUAUGUAGGGAUGGCAAUGGGACGGGGCGGGUGUGGAGCGGAGCGGGAUUAGGACUAUGCGGGGCGGGGCGGGGGACAUGAUUGCGGGUUCGGGGCGAUUUUACAGUGCUUUCUGAUCCAUUCAUUUCUGCAAGCAGGGAGGAUCCAGAGUGUUGCCUCCCCCUAUUCGAGGCCGGAUGGCCGCGCAGCAAAAACGUUGACCCCUACUACCGGUCCCGCAUUUGAAUCUAAGAAAGAAAGAGCUUAUACAGGGGGGGUCUUACUAUGACAAGUGAAGCCAGGGUUCCCAUUGAUCGGUGUCCGAAGUGUUGAUGUUCUAGCCUAAUCACUCUAGCCUCUACUUCACUGUCCAACUGUUAAUUUAUUUUUUUAUCUUUUUGUUAAAUUGCAGCUUAUGUUAAAUUUUUAAUUGUGUUACAUAAUUAGAAUUUAUAAAUUGAAUUCAAAAAAAUUAUAGUCAAAUGUUAUAUCUAAAUAACAAAGUGAAAAAAAAUAAUAAGAAAACUUAUGCGGAGCGGGUUUAUGCGGGGCGGGUUAAUGUGCAGCGGGGUGGGGCGGGUUGAAAAGGUAAAUUAGUCUAUGUGGGGCGGUGCUGGGCAGAUUAAAGUCUCUGCAGAUUUAUGCGGGUUUGCCCCAACAACCGCCCUGCCCUACUCCAUUGCCAUCCCUAACUAUAUAUACCCCUAUUCUUGUAACAAAGAAAGUGGCAAGAAUAAGUGAAAGAAAAUACGAUACAUACUAUUUCUCAUCUUUCUUGUUAUCUUAGUUUUUAUACUUAGUUUAUAACACGUUAUCAACACGAAGCUCUAACCAAAUUUCAUCUCAAAAUAUGGAAAUUCACGAGUCAUCAAUUGGAUCAAAAAUAAAUUAUGAUGAUAUAUGUCUUAUAGAUAGUGCCACAACACACACUAUUUUAAGAGAUAAGAAAUGUUUCUCUUCUUUGAUUAUGAAGGAGGCUAAUGUUAAUACAAUAUCCGGUAGUGCAAAAUUAAUUGAAGGCUCCGAAAAGGCUAACUUAAUACUUACUAGAGGAACAAAAUUGGUAAUUGAUGAAACAUUAUAUUGUAGUAAGUCUCAAAGAAAUUUAUUAAGUUUCAAAGACAUUAGUCAAAAUGACUAUCAUAUUGAGACAACAAAUGAUGAAAAUAAUGAAUAUCUUUAUAUUACUACAAUAAAGUCGGGUAAGAGAUUUAUACUUGAAAAGUUACCCUCUCUUUCAUCUGGCUUAUACUACACAAGUAUUAGCAUGGUUGAAGCACAUGCCAUUGUAAAUCAAGGAUUUACUAACUCAACUAAUUUUAUUAUUUGGCAUGACUGGUUGGGCCAUUCCGGUUCUAAUAUGAUGCGCAGAAUAAUUGAGAGUUCAUAUGGACACUCUUUAAAGAACCAAAUGAUUCUUCAAUUUAAAGAUUUCUCUUGUGUUGCAUGUUCUCAAGGUAAGUUGAUUACUAGACCAUCAGUAAUGAAAGUGAAUUGAAUCUCCAGCAUUUCUGAAACGUAUACAGGGUGAUAUGUGUGGGCCCAUUCACCCAUAAUGUGGACCAUUUAAAUAUUAUAUGGUUUUAAUAGAUGCAUCUACAAGAUGGUCACAUGUGUGUUUACUAUCAACUCGUAAUGUGGCAUUUGCGAGAUUACUUGCUCAAAUAAUAAAGUUAAGAGCACAAUUUCCAGAUUAUGCAAUUAAGAUAAUUCGUCUUGAUAAUGCUGGUGAAUUUACAUCUCAAGCUUUUAAUGAUUAUUGUAUAUCAACUGGGAUACCAUUUGAGCAUCCAAUUGCUCAUGUUCAUACACAAAAUGGUCUAGCGGAAUCAUUGAUUAAAUGCCUCCAAUUAAUUUCUAGACCAGUGCUUAUGAGAACAAAACUUCCCAUUUCAUUAUGGGUCAUGCUACUUUGCAUGCAGCAAGUCUUGUGCGGAUUAGUCCCACAAGUUAUCAUAAAGUCUCCCCAAAAUAAUUUCCUUUUGGUCAGGAGCCGAACAUUUUCCAUCUUAGAAUAUUUGGAUGUGCAGUAUAUGUUCCAAUUGCUACACCGCAACGUACAAAGAGGGGUUCCCAGAGAAGGUUGGGGAUAUAUGUUGGGUAUGAAUCUCCUUCUAUUAUAAAAUAUUUGGAACCUAUGACUGGAGAUUUAUUUACAGCAAGAUUUGUUGAUUGUCAUUUUGAUGAAUCAAUAUACCCAACAUUAGGGGGACAAAAUAAGCAGCUGAAAAAUGAGAUAGAUUGGAAUGCAUUAUCACUAUCUCAUUUAGAUCCUCGUACAAAUAAAUGUGAACUAAAAGUUCAAAGAUGAUUUAUUUGCAAAAUAUUACAAAUCGACUACCAGAUGCAUUCACUGACCUAUCAAGAGUUACUAAAUUUCAUAUUCCAGCUGCUAAUGCUCCUAUUCGAGUUGAUGUCCCGAUAGGAGAAUUAAUUAAUGUAAAUGAGUCUAAAACAUAUUUAAAAUGUGGUAGAUCGAUUAGUUAUAAAGAUAAAAAUCCUUGAAAAAGAAAAGGAGCAAAUGAUCAAGAUGGUCAUAAUAUGAAAGAACCUGCUCAAGUAGAGCAAGGAGACAUAGUAAUUGACGAAACCUUGGAAGAGGUUCAGGCGCCUGAAAAUAAUGAAGAAAUCUCAAUAGAUUAUGUUUCAUUGGGAAAAAUAUGAAACCGGAAUAAUAUAAUUAUCGAUAAUAUUUUUGCUUAUAAUAUUGCUAUUGAAAUAAUGCAACAAGAUGAGGAUCAUGAACCAAAAUCUAUCAAGGAAUGUAGACAGAGGAAUGAUUGGCCAAAAUGAAACGUUCAAGUUGAACUAGCUUCGCUUGAAAAAUGUGAAGUUUUUGGAUCGAUAGUCCGUACACCUGAAAGUAUAAAUCUGGUGGGGUACAGAUGGGUCUUUGUGCGAAAAUGAAAUGAGAAAAAUGAAGUCAUAAGAUAUAAAGCCCGAAUUGUGGCACAAGAAUUUUUGAAAACACCUGACAUUGAUUAUAUGGAAACAUAUUCUCCUGUGGUGGAUGCAAUCACUUUCAGAUAUCUUAUAAAUAUGGCAGUUCAUGAAAAACUUCACAUGCAUCUAAUGAAUGUCGUUAUAGCCUAUUUAUAUGUCUCACUAGAUAACGACAUUUUUAUGAAAAUUCCUGAAGGAUUUAAAAUGCCAGAAAUAUAUAAAGAUUUCUGGGAAAAUUGUUCAAUAAAACUUCAAAAACCUUUAUACGGAUUGAAACAAUCAGGACGUAUGCGGUAUAAUCGCCUUAGCGAAUACCUGUUAAAGGAAGGGUACAAGAAUGACCCAAUUUGUCCUUGUGUAUUUAUUAGAAGGUCUGGAUCGAAAUUUGUUAUAAUAGUUGUAUAUGUUGAUGACUUGAAUAUCAUUGGAACUCAUAAGGAGCUUUCAAAUGCAGUAGAAUGUUUGAAAAGGGAAUUUGAAAUGAAAGACCUUGGAAAGACAAAAUAUUGUCUUGGUCUGCAAGUUGAGCAUUUUUCGAUUGGAAUAUUUAUUCAUCAGUCAACAUAUACUGAAAAUAUUUUAAAGAGAUUUUACAUGGAUAAAGCACAUCCAUUAAGUAAUCCAAUGAUUGUAAGAUCACUUGAUAUUAAUAAAGAUCCAUUUCGACCUCAUGAAAAUGAUGAAGAGCUUGUUGGUGCUGAGACACCAUAUAGUAGUGCAAUUGGUGCAUUGAUGUACCUUGCUAAUAAUUCUCGACCAAAUAUAUCUUUUUCUGUAAAUUUAUUAGCAAGAUUUAGUUCUUCCCCAACACAGAGACAUUUGAAUGGUAUAAAGCAUAUACUCAGAUAUCUUCGAGGAAUCAUAGAUAUGUGACUAUUUUAUUCUAAAGAGUCCAAUUCACAAUUAAUUGGUUAUGCAGAUGCAAGAUAUUUAUCUGACCUACAUAGAGGUCGAUCUCAUAUAGGUUAUUUAUUUACAUAUGGAGGUAGAACUAUAUCAUGACGUUCAAAAAAACAAACUAUGGUUGCUACUUCUUCAAAUCAUGCAGAGAUAAUAUCCAUACAUGAAGCUAGUCGAGAAUGUAUUUGGUUGAGAUCAAUAACUGAACACAUCCAGGAAACAUGUGGUGUUCCUUCGAAGAGAGAGAUUCCAACAACAUUAUAUGAAGACAAUGAUGCAUGUAUAGCUCAACUAAAAGGAGGAUACAUCAAAGGAGACAGAACAAAACAUAUUUCACCAAAAUUCUUUUUCACUCACGAUCUUCAAACGAAGGGUGAAAUAGAUGUUCAAUAAAUUCGUUCCAGUGAUAAUUUAGCAAAUAUGUUCACCAAGGCAUUACCAACUUCAACCUUUUGAGAAGCUGAGAAACAAGAUCGGAAUAUGUCAUCGUCGAGAUAUAAAGUGAUAUUUUCAUCAGGGGGAGAAAAUACGCGUUGUACUCUUUUUUCCUUAACCAAGGUUUUAUCCCACUAAGUUUUUCUGGUAAGGUUUUUAAUGAGGCAACAAAUAAUGCGUAUUACUAAAAAUUUUCUUUCACUAUUAUUUUUCUUUCUUUUAUAUGGACAUCCAAUGGGGAGUGUUGUAAAUUGGAUGUCGACACUAAUAUGUUAAGUGUUGUAAGAUUAAUACACACACAAAAUGCUAUGUGGUGUAUACUAAUUAGCCAUUUGAUAUACUUGGUGCCCAAAGUGUAUACAUGGCAAGAAGAUAUCCAUGUAUCACACUUUGGGUACAAGUGUAUACAACUAUAUAUACCCCUAUUCUUGUAACAAAGAAAGUGGCAAGAGUAAGUGAAAGAAAAUACUACACAUACUAUUUCUCAUCUUUCUUAUUGUCUUAGUCUUUAUACUUAGUUUAUAACAAUUAUUGGUAUUUUACUAUAAUUUAUAAUCAAGAGAAGCGGGAAUAAGUAAAGCGUCUAUUUAAUUAUCUUGUUGUUCUAUGCUGUCCAAGAAAGAAAAAAAAAGGCAAAGACAUUUAUUUUCCUUUGAAAACCUUUACCCUCUUAGACACUUCAAUAAUUUAAUAUUUAGUUAUUAUACUAGUUUUUUUUGGCAUGCGCACUGUAUGAAAAAAUUAUUGGAAAAAAUGCUUGAACAAAAUAAUAAAAAGAGAAACAAUUGAUGCCGUGGAAAAGAGUAUUAACUUAUUUUCAUAUAGGAUUCACGGAGUGAGACUUUAUAAUUAGGAAAAACUUCAGAAUAUGACAAACAUCCAUAUAUAUUCAAGAAAAAUAGCUACGUUUUAUUUUUUCAUGUUAUAUGGAUAUAAUUAGACUAUAAAUAGCAAAGUUAAUUAUAUACAAUAAAUAAUUUUUUUAUAUUUAAUAUAAUAAAUAAAUAUUAAAUAGGAAAGUAAUUAUUGAAUGCCUAAUUAAUUAUGGCGGGCACAUUUGUGAUCUUUUCCCAUGUUUACCAUCAUCAAAUUUUUCUCUUUCAUCAAUAUUCAUACAUCACAUAUUUUUUGAUUUUUUCCCUCAAAUUCAUUCAAAUUCAAGAUCCUUGACAUCACUGCAGGAGCGAUUUUUGUAAUUUUGUAUCCAUCAGGUAUCUUCUAAUUGCAUAUUUAUCUCGUUUUUAUGAGCAUUAUAUAUCUACACAUCUACACUUUCUUCUAUUUUCAUAGGGUUUUGAUUCAAGAAUUUGUUUAUCCAUUUCAAUGGCUGAAAUUGAUACUCUGAGGAGAGUUACUAGAGGUAUACAUUUAUUUGACAAAUUGUUGGAUGAACUACCUUCUUUUGAUUUGUGUAUUACUCAACAACAAGCCAAAAAUGCAGGCUCUAUUGCUGCAAUGGAGAACGAAAGAAGAACAAAAAAGGUUAAUGACCAUAUACCCUUAAAUCUGCUUGAAGAAAUCGAACAUGCAAAAUUAGUAAAGAGGAAAAAAGGUUCAGAAGUGAAAACUAAUCUUGAAAAAAGGAGAAAAGUCAACAAUAUUGAUUCAAGUGGAUGUGAAAAAAGAGCAGUCGAGCAGGAACAAGAGGAAAAUGAAUUUGAGAUUUGUAUGCUUUAUUUUUAGUUAAUGUCAUUUACUUAUCUAUCUCAACACAUGUAUUGUGUGCCAUUGCCAUUAUGGAUUGUCCUCUUGUAUUGAAAUUGUCAGAAAAUUUGAUUUCGUAUGUAUAUAGUUGUUAAAAAUGAGUACAAGAAGAACAUGAACAAAACAGAGAUUGAGGGUUCUUUGAUUGUCAAUUUUGUAUAUAGUGAAUACUUAUAUACAUAGACAUUUGUAUUAUUAUAUAACUACAAGUUGAACUGUUGAUCUGUGACUACAAUUAUAUUUGAUUACAUAAGUACUCUAUCAAAUUUAAAAAGUUGAUUAGGGAAUUCAAGUAUAGUUGGAUACAUCAAUACUAUAUUGUUGGCCUUUUCAAAAUUUUAUUUAGAAGAAUACUUGUACAGUUUGAUACCCACAAAUUGUAUCCUUUUUGCUCGUUGGUCUAAUGUAUCCGUACUUAUACAGUUUGAUACCCACAAAUUGUAUCUUUUUUGCUCGUUUGUCUAAUGUAUCCAUAUUUUUGCUUUACAACAGGGUUGAAAUGUAUCCAUAUUUAUAUAUAUAGAUACUUGUAUUGUUAUAUAAGCACAAGUUGAAAUGUUGAUUUGUGAAUACAGUUAUAUCUAGAUAGAUAAGUAUUAUAUCCAAGAUAAAAAAUUGAUUAGGGAAUACAAGUAUAGUUGUAUUCAACAUAUUCAUUUUUGUGUUUAACAACAAUGUAUUCAUUGUAUUUUAUAUUGGUGUAUUCAUUUUUUGUUUAACAACUAGUGUAUCUAUUGCCAUGUAGUUCACCUAUUCAAAAUCGAAAUACUUAACCUUCAUUCACAAAUUCAACAAUUUGCUUACAUACAAUAACUUGAAUUAACAAACAAAAAUUUAUUAAUACAUUUACAACGCCAAAAUAAGAAAUAUGGAGACAACAAGAAAAUUGAGUAUGAUGUAUCACAAUUUUUGUUAAACUGAUAAAGAAUAUGACCUGAUAUGUCUUUAAAAUAAGUAAUUUUUAGUUAUAAAGUUAAUUAUGGGAAGUUGCUCAUUUUAUGGACGUAAUGUAAGGAUAGUGGGUUAUAUUUACAGUCAAUUCCUUAUUUAGUUUGUUGUACUUAAAGAUGUAUUAAUGUAUAAAUAAAAAAAAUAAAAAUCUAUACAAAAAUACAGCAAAAAAGUGAUAUAAAUUGUAGUCAUUUAUUGUAAAUAGCAUACUUAGAGCUAUUGGUAUUCAUUAACCCUAUAAAUAUAGUUAUUUAUGUAAGUUGCUCUUAUAAUUAUUACUUAUGUAUAUUAUAAAAUUAAUACACCAAAAGCCAAGUUGUAUUUAUAUGACACUUACUGAUUAUAAAUAGAACACAAGAAAGACUGAUGAUAAUAUCUUUGACAAAACGGUUACACUAGAUUCCAUUAAAUAUUUUACAUUAAUUAUAUAAGCAAAGUUUCCGCUAUAUUAGUCCGUUUAAAAUAAAAUGACUCUUUUCUUGUUGACAAUUCUCUAAGUCUACUUUUUGCAUGCCAUGUUUAAUAGCACAACAAAAGGGUAUAAUGAUACAUUUUACAUAUCUUUAUUGAGACCAUAAAUUACAUCCUUUUUUUAGCCCAAUCACAAGAGAUAAAAACUUAUUAAAAUACAACGCUCAUAUUAAAUUAAUAAAUACGUUUGCAUAUAAAGUUACACUUGAAAUCCUUUUCUUACAACUCUUAUAAAUAUUGGAGACACUUUGAUAAAGACAUUAAGAGUUGCGAAAGAGUGGUGUGUAAAAUUAUAGUUUUGUUUGUGAAAGUAUACAAUGUCAUACUUGAAGGGUGUUUUUACUAUUAGUAUAGUAUAAAUAAAUGUACUUGAUCAAAGUUUGUUUUUUUUGUCAAUUAUACUACCAAAAGUACUAGAUCUUCUGAAAAUCAAAGUUGAGUGGCAUUUGAGUUAUUAAAGUUCAGUGACUUUCUGUAAAAAAAAAAAAAGGACCAUACUUGAGUGACUUUAUGUGCAAUGAGCUCAUAAUUGAGUGAGUUUUGAGUUUAAAAUUAAAGUUGAGUGACUUUAAGAGAAAAUAGUGCAGAGUUGAGUGACCAUCUGAAAUAUUAUCUCAUUUACUAAUUGAAAUACGACUUUGGACCCUUGAUAAAUAAAUAAUUCAAAAUCACAAUGCUAGUAUUUGGCGGACCUCUCCCCCUUUUUCUGUUCUUCUCAUGUAUGAAAUGCCUUAAAAUAUUAGCAUUCAAUUUUUAUAGAACUAUUCCUAAAAAGGUAAACUUUUCUUCCAAUGGCUCUUUUUUUAUUUUUAUUGUUCAAUAUUGUAUUGAGGACUUGAUUAAUCCAAAUUUAUUCUUCCUAAGAUUUGUUAAAGAGAAAAACUCUCCAUCGAAAGAUAAAAAUACCCAUGAUAAAGUGUGAAGAAAUCGUUUUCAGACCAUCACAAUCCUAUCUGGUUCAUCGACACUACUUGUUUGUAAUGACCCUCAGGGUCAUUUCUGUAUUUAUGCGUACUUUUACUGUUUUACCCUUUUUGUACCUUCCUUAUAGCUUUGGGCGGUGCUGGGUUGGGUGGCAUGCUUCUCGAUUUGGUCGGUUAAGUUUUGAGUGGUUUUUGCCAUUUUGGGGGUUAAGGUUUGAAACAGUUGAUUUUAGUCAACAGCCGGAGAUUCUGAUAUCGGAUAAGAUUUCCAUCAGUUCCAUCAUCUCUAAAAGGGUCUUUCUGGACAAGUGUUUUGAUCGGUUUGGGUUUCAAGUCUCUCGUUUGGAGUUGGUUCAAUUAGGCGUUGUAACUUUUGAGUUUUGCCCAAAGUUUGACCUGUCAUAUUUCUUGGUAAACGCACUCAGAAUGUUAUUACAUCAGCGUGGUUUACUCUGGAAUGCCGAUUUUGGUCUAAAAUGACCCUUGGUUUGAUUCCCAAGGUUAUUAGGAUGAGUUUAUGGAGUUGAGCGUUUUGUUUGGCAUUUCUUUGAAAAGUGUUUAUUUUGGUCAAUAUUUUGAUGAGACGACCUAUGUUGGUUGUUUCAAUGAUCCAUUGAGUCUUGAAUGAUGUUUCCAAUUGGGUAGCAUAGCUUGUUUGUGUUGACGGGGUUCCAAACGAAUUUCAAACUCCAAGGAGAAUUUUGUGGCCUUGUCAAGUUUUUGAUGGAGUGCUACAUAGUUCAUCCAUUUACAUUUGCAGACCCUUGGCUGCGUUUGCCGAGACUAGGUCCCAGGCCUCUGCUUUCGUGAAAGGUUGACUCCCUGUGCCUUCACGAUCCUUUGGCCAUGUUCGCAAAGGGUUGUCUACCCCAACAUCAUAUUUGAGCGUUAUAUAAUAAAAAAAUGUGUUUGAAUAACAUAUCACGUUACAGAUGUGAAGGAAUAAAUCACAUUUUGGUUGAUUUAUUUGCAUUAAAUUUUGUAACAAUUGGACAUUUUGGGUGGUGCUUUCAUCUCACGAAAGUGUAGAGCAAAUUAAAGGUUGUUUGUUGUUCUAACUAUAGUUUUACUAUAAAAAAACAUAACAUUCUAAAGUAUGAUAAAUAGUAUAACAUCAUCAAGAAGGUCAUGUCAUAUUUAGAUUAUAAAAAUGAAUAAUAAUUAAAAUAAAAAUAAAAUGAUUAACUUUUUAGAGUUAAUAAAACAUUAAUGUGUCUAGACAUGCCUAAAGAGAAACAUUUAGAAAUAGCAGAAAUAAUAGGCAUAAUAAAGCUCUAUAGCUAUAGUUUCGAUAAUUGCGCUCCAUAACUAUAGUUCUUUUUUCUAUUGUAAUGAUCUGAUGGUCAUUUCUGAAAUUUUUAUAAAAAUUACCGUUUUCCCCUUUUGAUAUCGACCCUUUUAUGUUUGAGUUUUGGAAGUUGGUUUAAAAAUUUGAUCAAAAACAUUAGUAUGUUUUGAUUUUGGGAAGACUUAAGUUGCUUAAAAGUGGGUUUUAGUAUCUAAUUUGAGUUUCGAGGGAUGGAAUGGAAUUUCAUCGAUUGAAUUAGUCCCAGAAUGUGGAAUCUAUUUUGUGAGAGUUUUAGGUUUUAGAUUUGAAGUCCUUUUAAGGAUUUGACGUCCUAAGUUGUGAAUUUGUGGAAAUUUAGCCUUUGGAUUGACUUUUGUCAUCAUUCAGGAUUGGGAUGCUUGGAUCGGAAUUCCUGGGAGUUUUGUUGAUUUUAGGGGAUGAUUUUAGUCCUAGAAGUGGUCUAGGUUGAUUUUUGAGAGAACCCGAGCUUGUAUUAGCCUUUUUAGGCAUUGAGUUUGUUUCUUGUUGUUUCACGAAUAUCAGGUCGAUGAGACCUCAUAUUCCUGUUCUGACUAUUCCAUUGAGUCUGAAACAUCGAGUUUAGUUGAUAUGAAUAUUUGAUUUGUGUGUACGCAGGUUUGAAAGAAUUUCAAUGGCCGAUUUGAUGUUUUGAGCUUGGAUGUGUUUUCUGGUGCUGCAGACCUCGCUUUUGUGAAGGUCUUGUCACUUAAGCGACCUUCGCUUAAGUGAAUGACCUAUCACUAAAUUGACCUUCACUUAAGAGAAGGAGGCUUCGCUCUGUAAAGUCGAGUUUAAGCGCUAUUGCGACAUUAGAAAGGGGUCUGUGCCUGCAAUUUUUGAGGUUUUAGCCCCAUUUUCUAUUUUUGAGCUUGGGAAACCCUUGGAGGCAAUUUGUGAAGGAUUUCUUGUGCUGUAUAAUUUGAGUAAGCCUUUAUGACCCUAAAAUUUCAAUUUCCUUUUAUUAUUUGUAUAUUCUAUCGUCAUUAUUUGGGAUUUGAUUUUGAAAAUGGCAAAGUUUUGCAAGAACUUGAGUUUCAAUCUAAACUGGUGAUUUUGAUUCCUUUUUAGAAAUUGUUCUCACUACUUAGUUCCCAAAGCCUUAAAUAUAAUUUUCAAGUAUUGAUUUUCAGAUUCAAACCUCCUUUUUGAAAUUGGAUUUUGGGAUGCGUGGCCCAUUUCUCUAAAUAUUCGAUGUGGGUAUUAUUGUUUACGAAGAGUUAUUAUGAAUACUUGAUUGUUAUAGAUUGUGUGCCUUUGGAAGUGAGUUAGAAAGGGAAAACUCAAGCUUUGGAUUGAUUGAUUUAUCACUUUAAGGAAAGUGAUAUCUUAAACUUUGUAAUUUAGUUGAAUUCUUUAUUUCUCUUCAUUGCCUAUGUGUUGGGCAGUAAUCGAGAAUGAGGUGAAAGGUUAUUUACUCCACUUGAUUGAUGUUAACCAAUAAAAAGAGGGAAAAAUGAAAAGUCUACUUGAUGAAAAUAAUAAAUUGUGAAUUUCCUUGUUGUGGCCCCUAUUUGAUUUAUUGGUGAAUUGCUUGAAUCCAUGAAAGCGAACUUGAAUUAUAUGAAUUGUUGUGUCACUGUGUGGUGUGAUACUGCUUGUGUGCAUUGAUUGCUGAUCAACGUGAUGAGACAUUCGUUAUGAAAGUCGAAGGGAAAUAGUUUCGGCUUGUGAUAUAAAUAUUAAAGGGAAAUUGUUCUGGCAAGUGAUAUUCUAUAAUAAAAUCAAAGGGAAAUAGUUUCGGCUAGUGAUAUAUUUGCCGAAGGGAAAUUGUUUUGAAAAGUGAUAUUUUGUGAUAAAGCGAAGGGAAAUGGUUAUGUUUAGUGAUACAAAUGUGAUGAGUGCACAAAUUGGACUCAUUUAGGGCUAUAUUUUGAUAGAAUUAGUGUCCUCAAAUGCAUAUUUUAUCUCAAUAUCUGAUGAAAACCCUUAAGUUUUAGGUAUUUAGACUUUGAGGGAAAGCAUGGACGCUACUUAGCAAAAAAAGGAACAAAGGCAGCUUAAAGAAUGAAGAAAUGAAUAUCUGAGAAUCGCCGAACCCAUUCAGCGAAUCGCCAAAAGGUCUUAUCCUCGCCAGUGUGCUGAGCCCUGAAAGAAAGGAUCACAUCCGCGGUGAAAAGGAUCAAUCGGCGUGUCGCUGAACAGUUCCGUGAAGCAGUACUAUGUCGCCCAAUGAUCCAAAACACGACGAUGAUGAAGGAUAGAGCAAGACAGCGAUGAAACCUACCAAAGGGCGGAUUGCCGAGUUGAUCGGCGAUCUCGACAAAUGACGCUGAAUGAUCCGCUGUAACACAAAUUUUUGAAAACUAUAAAUACUAGGUGAAGUUUUGUAGCUUAGUAUCAGAAUAUACAUUAUUAUUAUCAAGUUUUAAUAUCAUACUUAGAAUAUUCUCUCUAAGCCUUGAGAGGGUUUUGAAGAACUUGAAGAUUUAAAGGGUUUCAACUCCAAGAUUUUGGACUUGGGUCUUGUGGAUUCUUUAUUGUUGACUUGUUUUAAGACUUAAUCUUGCAUACCCAUUGAUGGAAAUUGAGAUUGGUAUACAUUUUUAACUCUUUGCAUGUCUAGCUAAAACCCCAAUUCUUGGGGUGUGAUUUUGUGAAUAUAGGUUAGAUUAUUUGUUGGGUCUUGCUUNNNNNNNNNNNNNNNNNNNNNNNNNNNNNNNNNNNNNNNNNNNNNNNNNNNNNNNNNNNNNNNNNNNNNNNNNNNNNNNNNNNNNNNNNNNNNNNNNNNNNNNNNNNNNNNNNNNNNNNNNNNNNNNNNNNNNNNNNNNNNNNNNNNNNNNNNNNNNNNNNNNNNNNNNNNNNNNNNNNNNNNNNNNNNNNNNNNNNNNNNNNNNNNNNNNNNNNNNNNNNNNNNNNNNNNNNNNNNNNNNNNNNNNNNNNNNNNNNNNNNNNNNNNNNNNNNNNNNNNNNNNNNNNNNNNNNNNNNNNNNNNNNNNNNNNNNNNNNNNNNNNNNNNNNNNNNNNNNNNNNNNNNNNNUCGGUGUUCGAGAGAAACCGAGUUGAUUCGGGGUAAGUUGCUCGAGAGAGAAUUUACCCCCACUAUGGUCUAGCCUAGCACAAAUAUUCAACGAAUUUAUUAUCAAAACCAUGUACCCAAUGGUUUAGUUUAUCCCGUAUUCCUAUAACAUCCCAAGGAUCUCAUCUCCUUAAUUAAUACUCUUUGCAUUUUUGCUGAUUUUGCUCUUUACUUGUUUACAAAACCCCCCAUUGAUAACUGACACUCGUGUCAAACCCUUUAAUUUGUCAUGUCUUCAGUCGAUAAAGUCUUUAGCUACGGUUAGCUUUAGCACUUUCGUGCCUAAUCACUAAUUUUCAUAAAACGCUCCCUUGGGACUCGACCCCAACCCUUGGUUGGGUUACUAUACUAUUGUACAAUCGUAGACACUUGCAUUGGAAGUUGUGUCUUGAUUACGCAAACAUCAAAAUGGCACCGCUGCCGGGGACUGGUGUUAUUUGAGAAUUCUUAGAUUAGUAGAAUUUUUGUUCUUUUUAGUUGUAGUUUACUCACUUAAUCUUUAGUUUAGUUUUGUUUGCUUGUGUGUGAAUAUUUCAGAAAACAUAUGUGUUAACGGCAACAACCGUAGCUAGGUGGGCCACCAAGAUGAUAUCGGAAAUCUCAAUGAUGUCCAAGAUCCCAACAUCAAUGUUCCUCAUGUCAUGGGAGGUAUUAUAGAUAUCCGGUUACCUCCACCCGAGGGAAAUACAAUGUUCCAUAUAACGAGCACUAUGUUGCAACUCUUGCAACUAAAGGGGCUCUUCAACGGGUUGGCUGACGAGCAUCCUCACGAGCGUCUUCGGAACUUCGUGGAUGUGUACAUACCGUUCUCGUUCAAAAAAUAUCUCAGGAGUCAGUCCGAUUAAGAUUAUUCCCUUUCUCGUUGAUGGGAGAGGAGUGCAAAUGGCUGACCGAGUUGCCGCGUGAAUCCAUCACUUCCUAGGAGGAAUUGGUAACCGCAUUUCAGGUGUGAUUUUUCCCUCCCUCGAAGAUGAUCACCCUUCGGGAUAACAUUUAGAGCUUUAAGCGUCUGGAAAGAGAGCCUCUGCACGAGACUUGGUUACGGUUCAAAAAGUUGGUGCUUCAAUGCCCAACCCAUGGUUUACUCGAUAAUGUGCUGCUGCAGUACUUUUAUCGGAGUUUGGACUCGGUAAAGAAAUAGGUAGCUGAUCAACUUUCACCUGGAGGCUUAAUGCAGCAGCCAUAUGCAGUAGCAGCCCAACUUUUAGAUGGCAUGACAACUAUUAACAGAGUGUGGUACACUCGCGAGGACCAAGUCUCUCCUUUCACCUUCAAGCUAUCUAAGGAGCAUAUUGAAAGAGAUCAUGAGAGAGACCAAAACAUGGCCAAGAUCAUGACACAACUUGAUAUUCUAUCCAAAGAUGUCAUGGGGCUGGUGCCUGUGGUAUCAAUAACGUGGGGGUCGGGUGUUCAAAUUCUGAGGAGAUGAAAUUUGAAGCCUUGUAUAACGAGGAGGUAAACUUUCUAGCCAACCAAGGCAGUGGCUAUCGCUCAAACUACCCAAGGCAGGGUGGUAACCAAGGAUGGGCUAGAGAUGAAGGCUGGAAGGAUUGAGAUCAUGAAUGGAGGGACCAUAAUCCGAAUUGGAAGGAUGGGGAGAAGGAUAAAUAUGUGCCUCCCCAUGAGUGCCAAAAGCCUAAGGACUCGAAAGAUGGUAGAUCUGAGGAUAUGCUCUCACGUAUUCUCAACAAAGUUGAAGGGUCAGACAAAAUGUUAAAAAGCAUGAAAAAAGAUGUCUCCACCCUUAGCCAGACCGUCACCUCCCAUUCAGUUUCGAAUAAGCAGUUAGAGACCUAAAUGGGUCAUAUAUCGUCUCACGUCAAUCCGAGACUACAAGGGGUUUGCCUAGUGACACUAUGGUCAACCCCAAAAAUGAGGUUUGAAGGUGGACUUGCGUCGUGCCACGACGUUAACUAAGGCACUAUUUGGGAGGCAACCCAAAACCCUUUAGUUCUUAUGUUGCUUUGAUAAAAUAAUGGUGUGUUGAUUGUGCAGAUGGAAGUGUGGAAAGUGCUCGAAAAGUGCAGAUUGGCGAGCAACAGGUCCAAUCAGCGAAUCGCCAAAUGGUUUGGCGACCCCGAACUAGACUGUCAUUAGACUCUAGACCAACUUACACUGGAGUCUGUAAAACUCGGCGAGCGCAGGAAUUUCUUGGUGAAUUGCCGACCAUGUCGGCGAUCCCAGCGGAGACCACCGUUUGGACUUCCUCAAUAUAUGGAGCUCCUGUAAACUUUGGCGAGGUAAAUGACUACUUGGCGUUACGCGGAAUAGAUCGGUGAUCGGGACUAAUGUCGCCGAAUGGGCGAAAAUUGGACGGUUUUGCGAGCCAAAGGUUUAAAAAUUUUAAACUCAUUCACUCUCCCUCACUUUUUAUUUUCCCAAACUCACACCCGCACGCUAGUUCCUAUAUUUUUGCAUUCUUAUAAUAUUUUUAAUGCUAAUUUGUGCUUGGAGUUGGAUUACAUUGCCGCCUAGAAUUGCAAUCUUCUCUUAAUCGGCACCAAAGGUUGGUUUCCAAGCCCUAAGCUUCUUGUAUUGAAAGUUGUACUCAAAUGAAAUGACAUUCCUUUGAUGAUGUGUGCUGGGCCUCUCUGGUAGGAUUAGAAUAUUUGUUUGCCGGUUAGGUUCGCAAACUUACUCGUACUAAGUUAAAUAGUUAAUUCCUGAAGGGUGCGCUUUAAAUUGGAUGAAAAAUCAUGGAUUGUACAUGAUUUUCACUGGGUCUAAGCCUAAUUUUGAGUUGUGCAUGCCUUAAUUUUAUUUUCGGGGGUUGCGGGGUUGAAUUUGGGAAGUUGGGUCAAAAGCAGGCACGAUGGGUCAUUUGGCGAGGUGGGUCGAGUGCGCCAAACCACUCGGCAGUUCGCCUAAAUUCUCAUCUCGCAUUUAAUUCAACACUAAAUGUGAUGUUGAAUUCUGUAACUUUCGGCAAGAAGCAUGAUGUCACUGAUCGUAUUCGGCGUCUUGCCGAAAGACUUCUGGUUAGCCCUUUGUCUACACCCUUAUAUUCUCUAUGCACUGUGUUCCUCUUUGUGAGUGUGAGCGUUGCAUUUGAUUCCGAAACUUUAAAUGAUUAAACCUUUGUGUGUGAAUAUGGAAUCAUUCCUUGUGUGAGGGCAUUUGAACACUUUGGUUGAGCUUGAACUUGCAUUUGAAGCAAGUAUUGUGAGCAUGAGAUUGUUUGAUAUUGGUGAGUCACAACUUGAAUCUUUGAGUGUAGAUUUGAUCUUUGCAUAAGUAAAUUGAGUCUUGUUGUGUGCAUUCAUGAUUGAGUCUUGGGUAGCACUGUUCCAGAUACCCUUUUGAACGGUUGAACUUGAGUUUGCUUGAGGACAAGCAAAAGUUUAAGUUGGGGCUGUUGAUGAAUCCACAAAUUGGACUCAUUUAGGGCUAUAUUUUGAUAGAAUUAGUGUCCUCAAAUGCAUAUUUUAUCUCAAUAUCUGAUGAAAACCCUUAAGUUUCAGGUAUUUGGAGUUUGAGGGAAAGCAUGGACACUACUUACCAAAAAAGGAACAAAGGCAGCUGAAAGAACGAAGAAAUGAAGAUCUAAGAAUUGCCGAACCCAUUCGGCGAAUCGCCAAAAGGUCUUAUCCUCGCCAGUGUGCUGAGCCCUGAAAGAAAGGAUCACAUCGGCAGUGAAAAGGAUCAAUCGGCGUGUCGCUGAGCAGUUCCGUGAAGCAGUACUAUGUCGCCCAAUGAUCCAAAACACGACGAUGCUGAAGGAUAGAGCAAGACGGCGAUGAAACCUACCAAAGGGCGGAUCAACGAGUUGAUAGACGAUCUCGACAAAUGACGCUGAAUGAUCCGCUGCAACACAAAUUUUUGAAAACUAUAAAUACUAGGUGAAGUUUUGUAGCUUAGUAUCAGAAUAGAAAUUAUUAUUAUCAAGUUUUAUUAUUAAGUUUUAAUAUCAGACUUAGAAUAUUCUCUCUAAGCAUUGAGAGGGUAUUGAAGAACUUGAAGAUUCAAAGGGUUUCAACUCCAAGAUUUUGGACUUAGGUCUUGUGGAUUUUUUACUGUUGACUAGUUUUAAGACUUAAUCUUGCAUACCAUUGAUGGAAACUGGGAUUGGUAUACAUUUUUACCUCUUUUUCAUGUCUAGCUAAAACCCCAAUUCUUGGAGUGUGAUUUUGUGAAUAUGGGUUAGAUUAUUUGUUAGGUCUUGCUUGUUGAAGGUUUAAUUGUUGUGUAAAUGUGAUUUCGUUUAGUAGUUGUGGGUGAAAUUAAAGAAAUUAUAGUUGCAAAUACGAUUUCACCUUUGUGUUUUCGGCUUGCUCAAGAGAGAGGUCGUAAAACUAAGACUACUAAAUUGAUGGCUAGUAGGAGUGGGUCGACAUGAGGUUCAGCUCGAGAGAGUGAACCCUAGUCCUUCUCCCACACACUCAGCUCGAGAGAGUGAGUGGGCUAAGGCGGAGGCUGUUCUUCAUGCGGCAAGUUGGUGUCCGAGAGGAACCUAUUUGAUUCGGGGUAAGUUGCUCGAGAGAGAAUUUACCUACACUAUAGUCUAGCCUAGUCACAAAUAUUCAAUGGAUUUAUUAUCAAAAUCAUGUACCCAAUGGUUUAGUUUAUCCCGUAUUCCUAUCACAUCCCAAGGAUCUCAUCUCCUUGAUUAAUACUCUUUGCAUUUUUACUGAUUUUGGCUCUUUACUUGUUUACAAAACCGCCCAUUGAUAACUGACACUCGUGUCAAACCCUUUAAUUUGUCAUGUCUUCAGUCGAUAAAGUCUUUAGCUCCGGUUAGCUUUAGCACUAUCGUGACUAAUCACUAAUUUUUAGAAACCGCUCCCUUGGGACUUGAGCCCAACCCUUGGUUGGGUUACUAUACUAUUGUACGAUCGUAGACACUUGCAUUGGAAGUUGUGUCUUGAUUACGCAAACAUCAAAAUGCCGAAGGGAAAUGGUUUCAGCAAGAGACCCAAUGUAAAAGACGAAAGGAAAUGAUUAUGGCUAGUGAUAUAAAAGCCAAAGGGAAAUGGUUUCGGCAAGUGAUUAAUGUGAAAGCCAAUAGAAAUGGUUCCGGCUAGUGCCAUUGGGUCACAAGGUAAAUGGUUACGACAAAUGUUGAAUUUUGAUUUCAAUUUACAUGAUGCAUAUAUUUGACUUAAUUGAUGCAUGUGAUUGAGUUAAUUGAUGUGUUGGAUUAAUUUAUUUAAUAUGUGAGUUGAACAUGUUGAUAUUUGUGAUUCAAAUGCUUGGUAUUUGAGAGUAACUGGUUGAUACUUGUCGGUUGUUGAAAUGUUACUGUUGGUCUAUGAUCUUUGAGCUUGGUAACCUGUUUAUUGUAGAAUUAUUAUGUUGGGCUGAUUUUUGUGAAAGUUAUAGUUUGUGAAGGUUCGGUUGGAAUGAAAGGAGUAUUUGAUUUAGCUAGGUUGGCUAGUUUAUUAUGUUGCUUGUUGGGUGCCAUAUUGGUUGUACUCACUCCUUACUUCUACACUUAUGUAGGUUCUAUGUCCGGACCUGUGUGAUCUUCUUCUUCUUCUCAUGACUUCAACGCUCAUUGAAGGACUUGAAAGGUAUCUACUUGUAAUCUUGGCGGACCAUUUUUUCCUUUUCUUAUGCUUUGUUCCAUUUGAGAAGCAAAGACAUUUGAGAUAUUUAUUUAUCUUACGAAUUGUGUAUUUACAUUAGUGGCUUGUACGUGUGACAACCAGAUUUGGAGUAUUGCUUAGAAUGAAUAACUUUUCCUUUGUCUUGUUCUUGCUUUAUCUUUUCGCAUUUAAUUCAUGUUCAUUGGUUUCAGGCUGACUUGUUUUGGUGAGAAUAGACAAGUAUCAUCACAUCAAUUUUUGGGCCGUGACAAAUGGUAUCAAAGCCUGGUUCUUAGGUCUCACGUGUGUACAAUCCAAGUCUAAGUAUAGUCUCGAGGAUCGGUACAGAGACAUUUGUAUUAUCUUUGAAAGGUUAUGAAGACUGUUAGGAAACUCCCUUAUGUUCAUUCUUUCUUAUUAUUUGUGGUUGCCUUUGUUGGUGCUACGUUGUCGCGUGUUGUUUUGGUAGAUGCCGAGGACCAGAUCUUCUAUUUCUAGUGGUAUAGGAGCGGGAGUCGCCAUAUCUAUUGUUGAGAUCUAAGCUUGCGGUAGCUGUAGGGCCAGAGAUAGAGGUCAUGCUCGUGGAGUAGCCCAACUAGAGGUCGUGCUUAUGGAGCGGUACAAGCCAGAGGUAGAGGUAGAGAGGCUUCUCCUGAGCCACAAGUUGAGGUUGCUGAGAACCAGAUUCCUUUCGGGUUUGAAGCUUUCUUGUUUCAGAAGACUUUGUUGAGGAUGCUUGGUCUUAUGGAGAACUUCCCGCAGGGUGGUGCGACACACAUGACAUAUGGUUCUUAGACUGGAUUAAGAGCGCAAACUCUAAGUUAUCAGUAGACUCCGAAUAUUCAGGAUUGGUGGGUCAGCCAUAAUGGUUCUAACACUGGUUAUGGGUGUUCACAUUGCUCCUUAGGUUAUUCUAACGACAGCCGAGCAACAGUGUUUUGAAUGGUUUCAGAAGAUGUAACCACCCCAGUUUCAAGGUGGUAAGAGUAAUGAUGCUUAUAAUUUUUUGAUUUUCUGCAGUAAGAUGCUUGAGGCAGGGAGAAUUCACAGGUUUGUGAGAGGGUUGACUUUCUCUAACAGGUCGUAUGUGUUCCGUAGAGCCAGAGAUGGGCUUUGAUCCAAUCCAUUGCGAUCACCACCAAGGAGGCAGAGUUUAUGCUUUUAGAGAAGUUUAGAGAGCCCAAGAAGGCCUGUUUUUCUUGUUAGUUUUCGGGUGCCACAUCUGACGGAAAGGUUCACAUGAAGGUAGUGGCUCCUUUUAGCAUCGAGGACCUGUUCAUGCAUCUAUGCCAUCGGCUAAGAGUGGUUAGUCACCCCGAUGGUCGUAUGCUUUGCCAAGAAACCUGAGGUUCAGACUUCUGAUGUCGUGUUCACAAGUAUCGUCCCAGUUUGCCAUCAACUUGCAUCUUUAUUGUUUUAUCUAGGGUCUACCUUCUCAUACGUGUCUACUUAUUUGCUACUGGGUUUGAUAUGAUGUCCGAUUACAUGUAUGUGCUAAUUCAUAUUUCUAAACCAGUGGGUGAAUCCUUAGUGGUGGAUCAAGUGUAUCAAUCCUAUCUUAUUUCUUUGGAUGGGUAUGAUAAUUGGGUAGACUUGAUCAUUUUGAGGAUGAUAGACUUUGAUUAUAUUUUGGGUAUGGAUUAUAUCUCCCCGCAUCAUGCUAUUCUUGAUUUUUUUGCUAAGACUAUGACAUUAGUGAUGCCAGGUGUCUCGAGAGUUGAGUUGACGGCUUCUAGUGGUUUUUAUCCUACCAAACUUAUUCACUUUAUCGAAGCUUAGAGGUUGGUUGAUAUACGGUGUUUGUCUUAUUUGGCUUUCAUUUAUGAUACUAGAGUUGAGCCACCUCUGAUGGAUUCUCUGUUCGUGGUUCUAGAGUUUUCAAAUAUGCUCUCUAUUGAUCUUUUAGGUUUUUCUCCUGAUAGGGAUAUUGAUUUUGCUAUUGACUUGGAUCCGGGCACCAAUCCCAUGUCUAGUCCUCCUUAUUAGAUAACUCCAGCUACAUUAAAAGAACUGAAGGAUCAAUUACACGAUUUGUUGAUUAAGGGAUUCAUUCGCCCUAGUAUUUUUUCAUGGGGUGUUCUUGUGUUGUUUCCGAGGAAGAAGGAUGGAUUCAUGAUGAUGUGUAUUGAUCACCGAGAGUUGAAUAAAGUGACCAUGAAGAACAAGUAUCCUCUUUCUCAUAUUAAUGACUUGUUUGAUCAGCUUCAGGGUAUAUUUUUGUUUUCUAAGAUUGAUUUGAGAUCUAGGUAUCAUUAGUUGAUCGUUAGGGUAUUGGAGAUUCCUAAGACAACUUUCUGGACUUGUUAUUGGCACUAUGAGUUUUUUUUUUAUGUCUUUUGGUUUGACUAACACCUCUGCAGCGUGCAUGGGUUGAGUAACGAGGUGUUCUGACCUUAUUUGGAUACUUUUGUGUUAGUCUUCAUUAAUGACAUCUUGGUGUACUUUAAGACUAGAGAGGAUCAUGAUCAUCAUUUGAGGAUUGUGCUCCAAAAUUGAGCGAAGAAAAGUUAUAUCUCAAGUUCUCGAAGUAUGAGUUUUUGCUUAUUCAGUUACAUUUCUAGGACACAUGGUGUCCAAAGAGGGUAUUACGGUUGAUCCAUCCAAGAUUAAGAUAGUUAGAGGUUUGACCAGGCCUACUUCAGUCACUAAGUUUCAGAGUUUUGUGGGACUUGUACCGGCUUUUUCGCUUAGGAGUUUGCCUUAUCAACAUAGCAGAUGGUGGUGUGAUAGUUCAGAAUAGAUCCGAAUCUUCAUUGGAGGUUAAGGAAAAACAAGAUAGUGAUCCUAUAUUGUUUCAGUUGAAGGGUGCAGUUCAUCAGCAGAAAGUAGAGGUUUUCUCCCAAGGGGGAGAUGGCGUGCUUCGUUACCAGGGUCACUUAUGUGUUCCUAAGAUGGGUGAGUUGAGGCAGCAGAUCUUUACAGAAGCCCAUAACUCCAGGUAUUCUAUUCAUCCAGGUGCUAUUAAGAUGUACCGUGAUCUGCGAGAAGUCUUUUGGUGGAAUGGCAUGAAGAGGGAUAUAGCAGAUUUUGUGGCUAAGUGCCCUAAUUGUCAACAGGUUAAGGUAGAAAAUUAGAAACCAAGAGGUAUGACUCAAGAUAUUAACAUUCCUACAUGGAAGUAGGAAGUGAUAAACGUGGACUUUAUUACAGGUUAACCUCGUACUCACAUGCAACAUGACUCCAUUUGGGUGAUAGUAGACAGAGUUACUAAGUCUGCUCACUUUUUGGCAGUCAAGACACAAAUUCAGCGGAGGACAACAUUAAACUCUACAUAAAUUAGAUACUCAAGUCACAUGGGGUUCCUUUGUCUAUCAUCUCAGAUAGAGGUCCUCAAUUUACCUCUUAUUUUUGGAAAUCAUUUUAGAAAGGUCUUGGUACUCAGGUAAAUCUCAGUACAACAUUUCAUCCACAAACGGAUGGUAAGGCAAAGCGUACCAUUCAAACCUUAUAAGACAUGUUGAGGGCUUAUGUGAUCGAUUUCAAGGAUAGUUGGGAUGAUCAUCUACUUCUUAUACAGUUCGCCUACAAUAAUAGCUACCAUUCAAGUAUUCAGAUGGCCCCUUAUGAGGCAUUGUAUGUGCAUAGAUGUAGAUCUCUAGUUGGUUGGUUUGAAGUAGGUGAAGUAGCAUUGAUUGGGCUAGAUUCGGUUCAUAAGGCUAUGGAAAAAGUUUAGCUCUUCAGAGAUAGACUUAAGACAACUCAGAGUCAUCAGAAAUCUUAUGCAGAUGUAAGGAGAAGGGACUUAGAGUUUGAGAUCAAUGAUUGGGUUUUCCUGAAGGUGUCACCUAUGAAGGGCGUGAUGAUAUUUGGCAAGAAAGGGAAGCUUAGUCCUAGAUAUGUAGGUCUUUAUAGAAUCUUGAAAAGGGUUGGUAAGGUGGAUUAUGAGUUGAGUUUCCAGCAAAACUAGCAGCGGUUCAUCCAGUCUUUCACAUUUCCUUGUUGAAGAAGUGUAUGGGUGAUCUGGCAUCCAUAGUACCAUUAGAGAGUGUGGCUCUGAAGGACAGUCUCACUUAUGAAGAGGUGCCAGUUGAGACUUUUCACCAUCAGGUUUGUAGGUUGAGAAACAAACAAGUGGCUUUAGUAAAUGUGUUGUGGAGGAGUUAUUCCGUAGAAGGAGCUACUUGGGAAGCAGAAGAAGCCAUGAACGCCAAGUAUCAUCAUCUAUCGCGACCCAAGAGUAUAUCCUAGGUGUAACAUGGCAUACUUGACCCCGAAGGGGUCGCAUACAAUCCCUUAAAACAUCAUAACAUAAGAUAAUAGAAAAGUACAGAAAAUUUAAAAACUUUUAUCCAUACAAUAAAAAAAUUUAUAAAACCAAACAGAAGUCUUUCUAUACUUUGUCUCAAACCAUCUAAUACAACUUUAGAAUAGAACUCUUGGUACACAGCCCAUACAAUAGUCUCAACAUGAAAAUAAAUACAUAAAGGAAAUGGUGGGUUUUGUCUUCGAAGCUAUGAGGACUCACCAAGAUCUUUAACUCCUUAUCUCCUUAGAAACCUAGCUUCAAGAUUGGAACUCAAAUAUCUGAACACUACAUUUGAUUAGAAUGUAGGCAAGUAUGUGUUAGUACAAAAUGUACUAAAUAUGUUACCUAGCAUAAUAACAUAAGAGCAUAUCAUAAGGGUUAGUCAACAUAAGACAUCAUCCAAUACUUCAUGAAACAUCAACUAUAAGUAUAAGAGACAAUAUCAUUUAAUAAGCAAAGUCUCCAACAUAGACAUCAUAUAAGCUUCACCCAACUAUUAGUAAUUCAUAUCAUAAAGGACUAUUCUCACGUAACCUCAAGGCAUACUUGUGCAGUACAUGAAUAGCAUCCCAUAAUACCAUCCAAGCUAAGUACCCCUUUUUGGUCAUAUUAGUCAUAAUCUAUAUGCAUGGUAAAUCUUAGGCUUUCACUCUAUAGGAGUACUAUACUCCUAAGUAACCUCAAAGCACACUUGUGCAAUGCAUGCAAGGCAUCCCAUAAUACCAUUCACACUAAGCAUGGUAUUGAAGUCACCAUAUACAUACCUACCAUUCACUUGGUCUCAUUCUUAGCUUUCUUCAUAUAGACAAGGGAACUAUCACCUUAAGUCAAUCAUAUCAAUAUAGCAACAUCCAUCAAUAACACAUCAUAAGAGAAAACUUUCUUGAAUAACAUUAAGUCAUACUUGUGCAAUGCAUGAAUAGCAUCCCAUAAUACUAUUCAUGCUAAGUACUACUUUUAAGUCCUCAUACUAAUACUUCUUGGUUAGGAACAUAGUUCCUCUCUUUAACUUUAGAGCAUUAUGAGGUACUCCCUUAAGCACAUCUUAGUUCAUUAUUAGGUUGAACCCUAUGAGACACUUUUUAAGCAUUUCUAAGUUCCUUAUUAACAUGGACCCUAUUAUAUACUAUCUUAAGCAUGUCUAAGUCCAUUUAUACUCUUGAACACUAUGAGGUACUUCAUUAAGUAAGUCUUAGUUCAUUUAUACUUUUGAACACUAUGAGAUGCUUCUUCAAGCAUGUCUUAGUUAAUUGGAUAUGGAGAUUGCUACUACAAACCUUAACUAAACUAUGUGAAGGCUUCCAUCUCAUGAGACCUAACUUUGGGAAAACCCACACUCUACUACGUAAGAGUUCCCCGUUUAACUUGGAUAGUCCUCACAUCAACUAGGUGUUGUUCUCCUUUCGACUUAGAGCCCGGACCCUAUCUUGUGUGACACUCCAUCUCAUUUUAUACACCCCAAGAUUUACUUGUUAAGCCUUGCUUAACACUUAUGUCUCAUGGAAGGAUGUCCUUGACAAUCAAUCCAUGUUCAAGUGAUUCUAUCACUUUAAACUUUCAAGCAUUUAUAAGGUAGGUUAGGUAGGUAAAGAUCUUCCACCAUAACUCUAUCUAUCAAGCUUUUAUUCUCAUUUAGACUUUACUCUCAAAGCCUUAGCAUCAAUAAUUAAUCAUAUUAGCUUCACUCUAAAGCCUUAACUAUUAUGCUAACAAGCCUUACUCUCAAGAUUUCUUUCUUAAUCUCAUCAUUAUACCUAUAUUUCAUAGUAUUUUAAUCACAUCCUUCAUGAAUAUGUGAUUCUAGUCAUAAUUGAUCAUAAAGGUUCAAAUUCAACUUUACUAGUUAUGAUCCUUCAUAUUCAAUAAAGUCUAGUUCAAUUCAUAAUUAUAUGUUCCUAACCUUGAACAAUUACUACACAUGACAUUGAUUUGAGAAGAUCACCUAUGAACCUUCAAUUUCACCUCUAAUGGCAUAAACCCACAAAAUAUCACAUUCAUCAAAUAGACUAGGGUUAACCAUAGAAAUCACAUGAAUUCAUCAUAAUAUCAUAAUUCAAAGCUAAUACAAUCAUAAUUAGGCAUUAUCCACUAGAUUGGAAUCAUACCAAAACACUACCCACAAUGUAAGAAGAACCCUAACUAGAAUUGGGUUUUUGACUUCACAAUUGGGGGAAAUCUUGGGGGCUCUAUGGGUGGAAGAACCCAUCUAUGAAUAAGCUAACAUACCUUAAUUCAAAGUCCUACCACAAGCUUUCAACAAUGGAGUCUUUGUUCUUGACCUAAGCUUUAAGCUCUAUCAUCUUCUUCAAGUCUUGGAUUUUCUAGAGAGAAAUAAUUGAGAGAAGACUAAUUUAGGGAUUUGAUUUGGGUCUUGUGAAAAGUGACUUAAAUGGGUGGUUAAAAGCUUAAAAUAUCUUAUAUAGGUGUAUAAAUUGCAUAUAAAACGAGCCCCACUUAAAACUAGUUAAAAAUGAAUUUACAAAACUAUCCCUCCCUAGGCAGCCCGCUCCCAGGUACCACGAGAGGACCUCACGAGCUGUGGUCAAGACCACGAGCCGUGGUCCAGCCCGUGGUCCUUUGGGAAGUUUCUUAGCUAAAGGGUCUUGGCCUCCUCAAGGCUAAACCAUGACCACGAGACUUCCCACGAUCUGUGGUCAAGACCACUGGUCGUAGUGAUGGUUGUGGUCCCUUAGGUAGUAGCUUGGCCUCAAGGCCUUGCCUCCCACAAAUCUAAGGGGACUUCAUGAGACCUCCCUCGAUCUGUGGUCAAGACCACUGGUCGUGAAGGUGUUCGUGAACCUUGGGCAGUGCUUGGCCAAGGUUGGGGCAGCCUUGGCCUUCGGCUUAGGCUUUGCCCUUUUGCCUUGGCACUUGCCCUUGAAACCCUCAAUUAAAUCUUAAAUGGUCUUUGAUGAGUCCAAUUUUUGGACUCAUUUAGAGCUUUAUUUUAGUGGAAAUAGUGUCCUCAAAUGCUUAUUUAGUCUAAAUAUCUGAUGAAAACACUUAAGUUUCAGGUAUUUGAAGUUUUUGUGGAAGCAUGGACACUUAGGCGCAAAAAGAAACAAAAAGACUGAAAAGAACGAAGAAGUUGAAGCCUGAGCAUCGCCAAGCAUGCUUGGCGAAUCGCCCAAGGGAUGCACUUCGCCCUUUGUUCCAGUAUGAGAAGCCCUGAAGGAGAAGGAUCUAAAAGGCGAUGAAAGGAGCAACCGGCACUUCGCCGAUCAGUUUCACGAAGCAGAAGUAUACUGCCCAAUGAUCCAGAAUGCACAGAUGUUGAAGGCAAAGCAAAAAUGGCUAUGAACUAGAAGAAUGGCGAAUCGUCGAGUCAUUCGGCGUUUGCGACUAACCUCGCCGAGCGAUCCUCCAACACUAUUUUUUGAAGUCUAUAAAUACUAAAAUCUUUAUUAGUUUUAGAAGAGAGAGGAGAGUCUGAACAUUAUUGUAAUUUUUACUUUAGCUUUGAUAUUUUCUCUCAAGUUUGGAGAGGGUUUUUGGAGGACUUGAAGAAGAAAGGAGUUCAUCUACCCCAAAUUGGAAGUGGGUCUUCUCUAUUCUUCUUUCUUUGCUUAAAUCAAGGUUUAAUUUAUUAUACCCACUUGAUUUUAACAUCAUUUUAGGUAUAAUUUCUUAUUUCUUGAUGUGUAGCUAAAAAACCCCAUUUUUGGGGUGUUAUUUAGCAAAUAUGUGUUGAUAUUAUUGUUGGGUUUUGCUUGCUAAUAGGUUAGAUGUAUUUUAUUGGUGAUUUCAACUAGUGGUUGUGGUUUAAUUUAAUGGGUUUGUAGUUGAAAAUACAAAACAAAUCAUGUGUUUUUAGCUUGCUCGAGAAAGAGGUCGCGAAACCAAGACCGCUAGACUAUGGCCUAAGGAGUGGGUUGACAUGAGGUUCAGCCCGAGAAGGUGAGCCCUAGUCCCAUAUCCUAACACUCAGCUCGAGAGAGUGAGUGGGGUAAGGUGUAGGCUGUCCUUCAUGCGGCAUAUGGGUGUCCAAGAGGAACCCAGUUGAAACGGGGUAAGUUGACCGAGAAGGAAAUUAUUUCCAUCUAAAGCUUAGCCUAGUCACUAUUACCUUGCAAAUUUCAUAUUGAAAGUAUGUAACGAUCGAUUUAUACCAACAUAUAUUGUUGUCACAUCCCAUGAAUCUAUCCCCACACUUUAUUUUCUUUAUAUUUUACUGUGGUUUUAAUUUAAUCUUGUGACAAAAGCCCCAUUGAUAUUUGACACUUUUUGUGUCACCCAUCGAAUUUACUUUGCUUUAUUCGUAAAUUUCUCAAACUAAAGCUAAUCAGAAUAAGAUCCUAGUUUAACUAUUAAUUUCACUACCGCUCCCUUGGGACUUGACCCCAACCCUUGGUUGGGUUAUUAUACUAUUGCACAAUCGUAGACACUUGCAUCAAAAGUUGUGUAGUUAAUUAGAUAUUGUAUUCUUUUUAGUUAUAGUUUUCACUGAUUUGAUCUUUAGUUUUGUUUUGCGUGUUUGUGUAUUGACGCAGAGGAACGAAAAAUGGAAAACUACUACGGACUUCACACGGAUCAUCCCCUCUUGAAACUGCUCAACCUCAGGGAAAUGUGGUUGAAAUUUCAAACAGUGCUAAGUCCAUGCCCGUCUUAUGGGAUGACUGACAAAGCGUUACUGGAAUGCUUCUAUAGAAGUUUGGGACUUGAGAAUAGAAGUAAAGUGAAUCAAUUGUUUACAGGUGGUGUGUUGUGUCAACCCUAUGAGGUCAUAGCAAAAACCCUUGAUGGCAUGGUUGAAGUCAACAAGGAGACAAAGAAAGAAAAAGAGUGGAAUACUCUGGUUACUAAGUUGGAUGCUUUGUCCAACUGAGUUUUGGCAUUGGAAGUGCAAGCCAUGGAAAGGGAGAAACAUGUCAUCCUCCAAGAGUGCCAAAAUGGGAAGAAUCAUGGAAGUGCACGAGAUGAUGAGGUCCUUGCCCUCAUUCAACAAAAGAUUGCCGAACAAAAUAAGAGGUUGAAUGAGAUGACAGAUAACAUGGAAAUGCUAAAUGAGGUGUCUACCUCAAACUCCAUGACUAUCCAGCUGCAGGAUGCUCAAAUCUCGCAUUUGAUGACAGGUCGCUAUCCACCGUUCACCGAGGACUCGCUCAACUACACCAUGGGUGACUCUGAGGAUGAGGAAUAGAGGUCUGACUUGCGUCGUGCCAUGAGGUUAACUAAGGCACUUCUUGGGAGGCAACCCAAACCCUUUUUAAUUACUUUUAUUCCUUGGUGAAUUAAUGGUGUGAUACUUGUACAGAUUGAAGUUAGGGAAAUGUUUGGAAAAGUGUAUGAAGGCGAACAAAUGAUCCGAUUUGCGUGCCGCCGGCUUGUUCGGCGACCUCGAUCUUUUUUACCAUCUGACUCAAGACACUAUCAGCUUAGAUCCUGCAAAACUCGGCGAUCGGUAGGUAAUGAGAGGCGCGUCGUCGACUAUGUCGGCGACCUCGAUGUAGGCCGCCGUUAGGAUUCUCACAUGAGAUGCAAAUCUUGUUUCAUUAAGCGAAGUUAGUAAUCACUUGGCGCUUCGCCGAGUGAUUGGGCGAGCCUGACUCACGUCACCGAGUGGGUGGUAACUGAAUGGUUUUUGCAAGCCACAGGUUUAAAAGUUCUACUUCAUUCAUUUCCUCUCACUUUUUCAUCCUAUCAAAGUCACAUCUGCACUUUAGCUUUAUAUUUCUUGCAAUUUUAAAGUAUUAUAUGUGUCGAAUUGUGCGCGGAUUUGGAUCGCAUUGCUGCCUAGCAUGUCAGUACAAUCUAAUUCAGCACCAUAGGUUGGUAAUCGAACCCCUCAGUUAUUUUAUCAAAAUUUGUACUCAUUUGCAUAAUGAUUGAUAGUAUAAAAUCCUUGAUGAGUCUCUGAGUUACUGGGAUUGCAUAUAUUAUUGAUUAUGACUCAGUAGCUUUUGCGUAUUUUGAGGGACUCCCAUUCGACUGUGCUUUGAGUUAAUUUUUUUUUAUGGGGGGGGGGGGGUGGUGGGUUAUCAAAACUUCUAUAGGUCUUCAUUGAAAUUGUGUUAUUUAAGCCUAAAUUGCAUUAUCUGGGUUGCGGGGUGAAAUUUGAAAGAAAUGGGUAGAAAAUAGACACGUUUGACAGUUCAGCGAGAUGAACAAAACUUGCCAAAUUGCUCGGCGGUUCGCCUAAUGUCCUCAUUUAGCCUUUGAUCUAUUGAUUUGUGGCUUCCGACGGUCAGCCUAAAUUGCAAACCCCACUCGGCGACUCACCGAAAGACCUUUUGUUCGCCCUUUGUCUGCGCCCUUGUAUCAUUCGUACAUAAUUUUCAACGAAUAGCCUAGCUAGAUAAGUACUUCGCCAACUAGUUUGCCAAUGCAAUUCUGCACUUGGAACCCUCCCUUCUGCUGUUUAAAUUACUGUCUAACUUGUAUUCGAAGCUUUGCAGAAAUGGCUAGACCAAAAGUCACAGGGAGAAAUGAACCACCCCGGAACAUAAGAGCACGUGAGUUUAAAGAAGAUGAAAAGAAAGCAAAGCUAGCCAGACAAAGGAAAUAUACCAAGGAAGCUAGGGCCAAAAGGAAGACUCUUAUUGAUCCCACCAUUCCUCUAUGGAGACACGGAUUCUACACAGCCGUAGAUUCCUUUUUGGCAGCUCAUGACAUGGAUAGAAUGGGUGAGGCUAACAUCGCUGCAGAAGCUAAGGCAAAUGAAAACAAUGCGAACCAGAAUGGAAACACUUCAGGAGCUAUUGUUUUGUAUCAAGCUGAUGCAUCAAAAAAACCAAUGCACUUGCAAAUGAAGUGAAUGCAUAAACAAGACCCCCUCUUUACCUUCUGCUCUAAGUUUCUUUAUUUUUACUGCUGAAUAUUUUAUAUCUUGCAUUUGAGGACAAACGCUUUUGUUGUGGUGGGGUGAGGCUCACACCUUUGAUAUUGUGUCGAAUGCUGUCUUUGAUAUACACUUGGGUUGACUGUUUGAUAUUGGGUUGUUUGUUUUGCGAUUGUUUGAGUUUAGGACUCUCUCUUAGGUUUAAUUGAAAAAUAAUUGACCCUUCCGAAAAACUUUCAUUUUUUGAAAAUUUUCGCCACCUCUUGUGUUGAAAGUGGCUGUUCUUGUACAAAUUCAAGUUUCGGUUUUGAUCAAUAUCAAUGACUUGAAUGGUGCUCUCAAUUGAACAAACAUGAACGCGCGGCUGCGACAAAACCAAAUGAAGUUGCAUAGGCAAUAUGUGAACUUUUUGCAUCUCGUUGUGAUUAGCCAUUUAUCAAAUUGAUUCUCUUGUAAUGACCGUUGUACACUAGCAAAAAUGUGUGGUCUUGUUUGACUUAAGUGUUGAUGCCUUGUGUGAUCAGCUUACUUUGAACCUUGCAUGAAUAAACCUAGAAUUUGCCUCGUUAGUCUGAUUGAUUUAGUAAGGUGUGCUCUUGAAAUGAUCUUAGGCAACUUUUGAAGAGUGUGAGCCAAAUUUGACAUAUACCUCUUUUGUGCCUACCCGUGAGCGUGUGAAAUUCUCUUGAACACCCUUUGAGCCUUACCUUUCUUUGGAAGAACAGUGAUGAACCCUAAACCUUACUUAACUCACUACCUAUAAUCCUAUUGAUUUGUGGUUUAGUGAAUAGCCAACUUAGGGAAAAAGCCUAAGUUGGGGAUGUGGUGAAAAGGAAAAAGGAGAAGUCAAGAAGUGCAAGAAAAGUCUCCCUUAACCCAUGGUGUUGUGGAACAAUGGAAACCCUCCAUAAAAAAAAGUUGUGGAAUAAAAGUACAAAAGAAAUUGGGUUUCCAAGCAAUCCUUGGAGGUGAAUAAAAAGAUGACUUAGAAGCACUAGAAAAAGAAUUGAUAAAGGAAAAGAAGGGAAUGCCUUGAGAAUACCACAUCUCAUGAGGAAAAAGUCACUGAGCCUAAAUGACCAUACCUUUGCACUCAACCCCAUUACAAGCCUUAGAAAGACUUUUUUGAUCUUGAGUGAGCCGAACCGAAGAUCGAUUGGAAAUAAGGGCAAGCCUAUGGGUGAAAACAUGCAUUGUGUUCCUCUUUUUGAGUGUGAGCGUUGCAUCUGAUUCCUGAUCUUGAAUUGAUUCCCCUCUGUGUGUAAAUAUGGAAUCAUUCUUUAUGUGAGGGCAUUUAGAUACUUCUUGUUGAGCUUGAACUUGCACAAGUAACAAGUAUUGCGAGCAUGAGAAUUUUUUGCAAUGGUGUGUCACAACUUGAAUCUUUGAGUACACAAUUGAUCUUUGCAUGAGUAAUCUGAGUCUUGUUGUGUAUGUUCAUGAUUUAGUCUUGUGUAGCACUAUUUGAGACAUCCUAUUUGAACUGCUAAACUUGAGUUUUACUUGAGGACAAGCAAAAGUUUAAGUUGGGGUUGUUGAUGAGUCCACAAAUUGGACUCAUUUAGGGCUUUAUUUUAAUGGAAAUAGUGUCCUCAAAUGCUUAUUUAGUCUAAAUAUUUGAUGAAAAACACUUAAGAUUCAGGUAUUUAAAGUUUUAGUGGAAGCAUGGACACUUAGGCGCAAAAAGAAAUAAAAAGACUGAAAAGAACGAAGAAACUGAAGCCUGAGCAUAGCCAAGCAUGCUUGGCGAAUCGCCGAAGGGACGCACUCCGCCCUUUGUUCCAGUAUGCGAAACCCUGAAGGAGAAGGAUAAAAAAUUCUAUGAAAUGAGCAGUCAGUGCUUCAUCGAUCAGUUCCGCGAAGCAGAAGUAUACCGCCCAAUGAUUCAGAACGCACAGAUACUGAAUGCAAAACACAAACGGCUGUGAACUAGAAGAAGGGCAAAUCGCCGAGUCAUUCGGCGUUCGCGACUAACCUCGCCGAGCGAUCAGCAAGCAUUAUUUUAUGAAGUCUAUAAAUACUAAACUCUUUACUAGUUUUUAGAAGAGAGAGGAGAGUCUGAACAUUAUUGUAAUUUUUACUUUAGCUUUGAUAUUUUCUCUCAAGUUUGGAGAGGAUUUUUGGAGGACUUGAAGAAGAAAGGAGUUCAUGUUCCCCAAAUUGGAAGUGGGUCUUCUCUAUUCUUCUUUCUUUGCUUAAAUCAAGGUUUAAUUUCUUAUACCCACUUGAUUUCAACAUUAUUUUAGGUAUAAUUUCUUAUUUCUUGAUGUGUGGCUAAAAUCCCCCAUUCUUGGGGUGUGAUUUAGCAAAUAUGUGUUGAUAUUAUUGUUGGGUUUUGCUUGAUGAUAGGCUAGAUGUAUUUUAAUGGUGAUUUCACCUAGUGGUUGUGGUUUAAUUUAAUGGGUUUGUAGUUGCAAAUACAAAACCACUCAUGUGUUUACGGCUUGCUCGAGAGAGAGAGAGGUCGCGAAACCAAGACCGCUAGACUGAUGGCCUAAGGAGUGGGUCGACAUGAGGUUCAACCCGAGAGGGUGAGCCCUAGUCCCAUAUCCUAACACUCAGCUCGAGAGACUGAGUGGGGUAAGGCAUAGGCUAGCCUUCAUGCGGCAAAUGGGUGUCCGAGAGGAACCCAUUUGAAACGGGGUAAGUUGACCGAGAGGGAACUUAUUUCCAUCUAAAGCUUAGCCUAGUCACUAUUAUCUUGCAAAUUUCCUACCGGAAACAUGUACCCAACGACUUAUACCAACAUAUAUUGCGGUCACAUCCCAAGAAUCUCUCCCCACACUUGAUUUCCUUUAUAUUUUACUGUUGUUUUUAUUUAAUCUUCUCAAAAAAAACCCCAUUGAUAUUUGACACUUUUUGUGUCACCCAUAGAAUUUAGUUUGUUUUAUUCACAAAUUUCUCAAACUACAGCUAAUCAAAUUAAGAUCCUAGUUUAACUACUAUUUUCACUACCACUCCCUUGGGACUCGACCCCAACCCUUGGUUGGGUUAUUAUACUACUGCACGAUCGUAGACACUUGCAUCAAAAGUUGUGUCAUUUGAUUCCACAAACAUCAGUCUUCCAAACCACGGGGUCUAACACGUACCUUGAUGUUUAACCACUAAACCCCUUAUUCUAAGCAUGGGACGCCUUAUCUAUGAUUAUAACCCUCAACAUCAAACUCUAGAUCCCUAGCUCGAGGCUCUAGUUUGGUCUACUAGUUUCUGCGGUAUUACGUCAUCUUUUUCCUUCCGACUCCGUUUCAGUUUCAAGUAAUAGUUGCUCUCCAGUCCCUCAGUUUACUUUUGCGUAAAUUCAGCCUUAGUAUCUUGUUCCUUCGGGGUUCUUGCAUUUCAACAUAUGCAUGUUCUUGGAACUCAGUUUAGUUAGAUUUCAGUUUUCGGUACUUAGUGGUAGGGAUUGCAUCUCCUUCCCUCCAUAAUCAGCUAGUUUAGACUUCAUUGGAGGACGAAUGUUCCCAAUGGGGAGAUAAUAUAACACCCUAGAUUCAAAAAGGACCAAAUGACAAAUUUUCCAGAAGUUGCAGGUGCCACCAAUGGAGGCCAUCCACGGCCCGUAAAAGGGACCACAGACCGUAAGUGUGGUCCGUGGUUGAUUACCUCAGCAUUUCCCAAGAAAAUCCAGGACCACGCCUGACCAACGGACCAUCGGUUAGACCACAUUCUGUGGUUGAUGGCCCAUGGUUCAGGGCCCCAAAAAUUUCCAGGAACUCACGACCCACAACAAAACCUACGAACCAUAGGUUGGACCACAGUCAGUGGUCUAGGUCCGUGGUUUUGACCCCAGUUUCCAACUCUCUGACAACCAAACGACGGGACUAAGAGGAUGGGCCGUCAGUCGAUCUAUGGUCCAUCGGUCAGGCGAUGGCCCCAUCAGAUUUUAAGUUAGGGUUGUUUUUGUCUUUUCCCCUAUGCAUUGGACUCCUAAACUACGUCAUUUAAUCCCUAAAGUACGUCGUUUUUGUCAGUUUUAGCCUAGUAUUCUAGUCAGACUUUACUCUAAGCGAUUCAUUCACCAAAAUUUAUUAAAACUUAGAGCAAAAGAGGAAAAAGAGUUGACCAAACCCUUCCAAGAACGCAGCAGGUUUUCUUCAGUUCCAGCCCCAAAAUCGAAAGAUUUGUCCGUGAAAUUCAUCACCAGGUAUGUGGGAGUGGGUUCCUUUCAUCCAUUAGGUCCCUAGAAUUUAGUUAGGUUCUUGAUUCACUAUAUCUUGCUUAGACCUAGGGUUUCUAAAACCUUAGAUAUUAGUUGUAAUUUAGCUGUUACAGUAUUCCUAAUCAGAUUAUCAUGCUUUUGUGGAAUCGUUGCUUAGUUCUUUGCAUGAAAUUUAGAACCCUUGUUGUGUAGAUCCUCUUAGUUCAUGAAAUACACUUGCUAGGUCAGUUAAACAGGUAUACAUGCCUCAGAUUUUGAAUGCGUCAUCGUUAGUACAUAAAUUAUACAUUCUUAGUUAGCAUGUCAGAAUAAUAAGCUAAUCCAGUGAUUCAGUUAUGUCGUAUUAUAUACAUAUUCCAGUUGGGAGUAUGUUUAGCACCGAGAGGACUAAGGUUCAACAUACCCUUAAUGUCCCAGAACUACGUUCCCCCGUAGGAUUAUAAGUCCCCUUCAUUGGGCAUCAAAUUUAGUGAUCACGCCAGUCAUGCCAUUAUACCCUUGGCAAGGUAUAUUGGGUCCUCCCGAUGAGGCUUAUACAUCAGACUCCACGUUUAGCUCACUUGGUUUUAUGUCAUUUAAUAGUGGCUCCCACAGUUAGACUUUACUGCAUUUGACCAGGUUUUCAGUUAUAUUUCAGUAUUCAGUCUCAACAUGUUAUGUAUUUGGUCAUUGCAUUCAGCUUUAGUUCAUUUCUAUAUAUAUAUCAGUAUUUUCAUCAUGUUCAGAUUAUAUCAAUUCUCAGUAUGCUUUGUUCAUUUAUAUGUUUUGUUCAGCUUUUAUCCUAUCCUGCAUGCUCAAUACCUUUCAAGUACUGACGCAUACUCCGCGCUACAUCUUUUCAUGAUGUAGGUUCAGUUCCUUAGCAUUCGGAUCAUAGGUAGAUCGGUUCGCGAUCCAUACUAAGCAGCAUUAGUGGUGAGUCCUCAUACUUCGAGGACAAUAAACAUGUUUUCAGAUUUAGUCUUUCAUUUUAUUUUCAGUUUUUAGGGUUAGUUGGGGACGUGUCCUAGCACUUCUAGUCAGUUACAGGCUUUUCAGACAUAGUAUUAGAUUCAGCUUUAGCUCUUGAGUGAUUGUUCAGUAUCACUAAAAUCUUAUUCAGUUUUAUAUAUAUUCAGACCAGCUUUGGGUAUUCCUCACUGUCAGUAAUAAUUGCUUUAGCUUCCGCAUUAGUUCAUGAUUUCAUAGAUAUGUUCAGUUUUGCUAAUGAUAUGCUAGCUUAAGGUUAGCUUGGGGUCACUCGUGAUCCUAGGUCCCGUGUUUACGUCAAGGGGGUAGCCUCAGGGCUUGACAUAUUCACUCUGUUAAAAAAAGAAUGACUUACUUUCUUUUUAUUCUGAUAAAAAAAGAAUGACCUGUUUCACUCCAUUAAAAAAAGAUUGACUUUUUUUCUUUUUAUUUUGAUAAAAAAUAAGAAUGACCUGUUUUCUUUUUUGGCAACAAUUUAAUUUUAACUUUUCAAAAGGUAUGUUUUAAGGCUACAAUAUUAAAGAACAUUUUUGUAUAUGACAUAACACUAAUUUAAAACCACAAGAUUGAAAUAUUUUGUUCUUAAAUUUUGUGUCAAGUAAAAUUAGACAAAUUUUUUUAAAACCGAGGGAGUAUUAUCAAAAUGUCCUAUUCAUUGUGAUAAUAUAGCAUUUAUUAACUUGAUAAUUUAGCAUUUAAUAAUUUGACUACGACCAUGUUUGGAUGAGGCUAACCUACUUUUUAUUAAAUACUUAUUUGACCCAAAUAACUUUUUUGAGCUUAUAAAUUAGCUCUUUUGAGCCUUCUCUUUCUGUCAUUGCAUUGUUUGUACACUUCAAGCAACACUCUAAGCUAUUGUUCCUUCCAAGGGUGAGAAGAGACUCCCUUAAAAUAUGGAUAGAAAAAUUGAGAUAAAAAAAUUUGAAGACAACGAAUAAAUGUAAAGCCGCCUUUUCUAAGCGAUGUAGUAGUUUAUUAAGGAAGGCAGAAGAGAUUGCAAUUUGUUGUGAUGUGCAUGUCUUGUUUGUUGCGUUCUCACCCUCUAAUCGACUCAACAAAUUCUGUAGCCAAAAAAGGUAUUGCAGUUACAAUACCAACAAAACUUACUGUUACGUAAUGCUAUUUAUUAAUCUAUAAAAUGAUAAGCUAUUUAUACUAAAUUGUUACUUUUGUAGAAUUGAAGACAUGCUUGAACGCUAUAUUAAGCUUCCGGUUGAGAGGAGAUUGACGUACAUUAACUAAUUAAUUCUAAAUUUUUUUAGUUGAAUUUUUUAUUUAGUUAUUAAGCAGUAACUUAUAUACUGUAGCACUAACUUAUGAGUUUUUUUGUUUUUUACUUUUGAUGGGGUUAGUCACAUGGGCGAUGUUAAGGUACUUUACUCUUUCACAUGUUCAUUAUAGAUAUGUAUUUGCAUGAAUUUUCUAUUUUUAAAAUUAAGUCUUGUGUCUAUUAAUGUUAAUUAAUUUGUAUAAUCUUUAAAUGAAUGUGAAAUUAAUGGAGUAUGAAAUGAAAAUUAGUACUUGCUCCAUUUACAUUUAGUUACUUUUCUUUUUCUAGUUUGUUGUUAAAAGAAUGUAUCAUGUUAGAUUUUGAGUCUAACUCAUACUCUAAAAGCUAGAUCAAAAAAGGAUAAUUGCUCAACCCUUGUAUGAAUUAUUAACCCCAACCCCUCCACACCUAGAUUUGGACAUUCUUUAUCCGAGAUUUCAUUUAUCACCCCCCUCUUCAUCUAGACAUUCUUUGUGGGGAUUUAAUUUAUCACCUCACCCUCACCUCCAUGUCCAGAUCCAUAUAUUCUUUAUUUGGGAUUUCAUUGUCAAGUCUAGAGCAUGAUUUCCAGACCACAUCUAUUAAUAAUUCUAAGGUCCACAUCAGUUUUGGAUCUGAUCAUGUCAAGUUAGUUCACGAUGAUUCUAACUCACACUUCAGAAAACAUUUCAAAGAGAGGAAGAUUGUAUAAGUCUUAUAAAGAGAAAAAGAUUUCAUUUAAUCCAUGAUGUGGGAUAUUCAAUUAAUCCAUCAAGAUACUCAUUUUUUUGACAUCUCUUUAGAUUCAACUUUUUGUGUAACAUGUUUAUGACGAUAAAAUUAAAGGAUAUUUUCACACCUUCCACCUCUCUUUAGUUUAAAAUCAUACGAUUAAAAAAUCAUUCUUUUGAUUUAUUAAACUUUAUGUCAUUACAAAAUCAAACAGACAAGUUAAAAUGAAGUCAAUAAUAAUUAAGAGAUUCUAAAAAUGACAUCCUCAAAAUUACCGAAAUACUAAAUGAUUUUUACUUCAUUAAAUAUAACAAGUUUUUUUUUUUUUUUUAAGUCAAAAAGGGCAUUAUUGAGAAAGAGUUGUAAUAAAAUUUAAUUAUUGAGAUCAAUUUUUCUCACCAUUACUAAUAUUUUUGGGUAUAUAAUGAAGGAAAAGGUGGCCAAAUUGAGUCAAUUGAACAACAUCAAGGGAGAUGUUAGCAAGCUACAGCUUCUUGAUAAACAGUUUGGAUCUCUUAUAUUUUUCUCACUCCUUAAUUUUUGGAUCAGUUUAUUGUCUCUCUAUGAUUAUAUUUUGUUCAAAGUUAUUUACAAAUAUUGUAAACAAAAAAAUAUAUUUAUAAGGAGAUUAACAAAUGAUAAUAAUUGAAUAAAGAGAGAAUUAGGAGCUUUAUUUCGAAAAGAAAACAUUGAAAUUUAGAAAAUAUAUUGUGUAUAAAUGAAUAAAAUAUUCACUCAAAUAAAAAUUUAUUAUUAAAUGAAAAUAUAUAAAUGAUUAAGUAUAAAGAGUAAGAUGCACAUAAUCUUACUCCUUUCUUUAUGAGGUAGAAAGUUGUUUUCGAUUGAUUUUCGAUAACGUAACCCUCCUCCAUUAUGCAUGCUUCAGAUAGACAAUAUAAGAGAGCUUAAACAACUAAUAUUAUAUAAGUUUUACACUAUUUUGAUUUAUUUAAAUGUACUUAGAUACUACAACCAAGUACGUCAUACUUGAUUUCUUUUUUAUUAAGUGAAAUUUCUCUUACUAAUGAAUUAAACUUUUUCAUGAUGGCUUCUUUUGGAUGUUUCAACCUGCUGCUAGUGUCUUAAUUUCUAUAGGAUCGAGGUAAGCAUAACUUAAUUUGAUAUCUCAUAAGUAUUUUUUUAAUUAAGUGAGACAUUCAAAUACAAAUUAAUAAUAGUCUUAAUAAAUAAAUGUUAACUAAUGAGUGAAAUUGAUUAAAUCAUUUUAACUUAAAAUUCUUUGAUGUAGAAUUUGGAGCUGCAAAUCAAGAAGUGCACAUUGGAAUUGCAGAUUGUAGAUGCUAACAUAAGGUCAUUUGAUUUAGUAUCACAAGUGUUUUCUUUUGUUGUUAUUCUUAAUUAUAACAUUAUGGUUUAAUACAAUGACAUCACCUUAAACAUUUAUAGAGACAUUUAACUUAUCUUCUAUUUCAAUCGUCUAAAUUGCUAACUUGUUCUAUAGGGACUAUGUUCCAGGACCAGAGCAAGUGUCUUCUCUUCAUCAACUCUCUUGGUGUGAGAGCAACUUGCAAAAAUCUAUCCAAAAAGUUAUGGCUAGAAAGGUUUGUUGUUUCACCAAAUUUCUUUUCUUUAUUUAUCGUUGAAGAAUUAUGUGAAAUCACAAAUUUCAAAAAAACAAUUAUUUUUCUUAGAAAUAAUGCAUCAAAUCAACUAUUAAUGUUAAUCAAUAAGAUUUUAUUUAUGUCUAAAUAAUUUUGAUUAGAUGGAAUUGGAGAAACAAGAAAAGAUGGGUGUUCAAUUUGCUGCACAACAAACAACUCCUCAACUGUUUGAGACAAAUAAUUGGGUUAAUCCCUAUAGGUCAUUAUAUUUUUCACAUAAUAUUUCUUUACAAAAAAUUCUUCUCAAUUUUCCUUUUUAGUUUCAUUAUUUCAUUAUUAUUUUAGUACAAGUAUCCCAAGGAGCAUAUAUCAAGAUUGGAUGAACAAAGAGAAAAGAGUAGCAAAUACUUUUUGCAAUUACACAUACACCCCUUCUUUUGGAAGUUCUUCACAGAGUGAGAACAUGCCAUUUUUUCAAAUUCAAAAUUCAUCUCCUCGUAUCCCGUUCCCAUAACACUUUUUUAAGAAUUUAGUAACAAGAAUCUCUAAAAGAGAUAUUUUUAAAAAAUUGAUGUUAUUAUUUUCUAUCCGCACAAUAGAGCCAACAACAAAAUAUGGUGGCAGAUGUCCAGCAAAAUUCAACACAAACAUUUGGACAAUCACCGGUACAUUAAUAUUCUUCAAAUAUUAUUCCUUAUUAAGAUCUCCUUAAAUAGGCGAAAUAUAUUUUUAAUUUUUUUUAUAUAAUUAUUUUAUCCGAAAAUAGAGUCAACAACAAAACAUGGUGGUAGAUUUUUAGUAUAGUCCAACACAAACAUUUGGACAAUCACAGGUACAUUAAUAUUCUUGAAAUAUAAUUCUUUGUCAAAACAUACNNNNNNNNNNNNNNNNNNNNNNNNNNNNNNNNNNNNNNNNNNNNNNNNNNNNNNNNNNNNNNNNNNNNNNNNNNNNNNNNNNNNNNNNNNNNNNNNNNNNNNNNNNNNNNNNNNNNNNNNNNNNNNNNNNNNNNNNNNNNNNNNNNNNNNNNNNNNNNNNNNNNNNNNNNNNNNNNNNNNNNNNNNNNNNNNNNNNNNNNNNNNNNNNNNNNNNNNNNNNNNNNNNNNNNNNNNNNNNNNNNNNNNNNNNNNNNNNNNNNNNNNNNNNNNNNNNNNNNNNNNNNNNNNNNNNNNNNNNNNNNNNNNNNNNNNNNNNNNNNNNNNNNNNNNNNNNNNNNNNNNNNNNNNNNNNNNNNNNNNNNNNNNNNNNNNNNNNNNNNNNNNNNNNNNNNNNNNNNNNNNNNNNNNNNNNNNNNNNNNNNNNNNNNNNNNNNUAUAAAUCUUUUUUAAAAAAUCCCCCCCCCCCCCCCCCCCCCCUUUGUACUAUACUAAUCAAGUCAUACGUUUUUACAGGCACAAGUGACUUUGGGUGAAACUAGUGAUAACUCUCUCAUAAAAUUCUGGUAAAAUUUUUGUGCUUUUAUAAGGUUUCUUUCGAAAAGCUUUGAUUUGACAAUGUAUUACUAUUCACAAGAUUAUAUUUCUUUUGUUUAAAAAGAAUGAUGACAUUAGAAUUAUAACGUUCAAUGCAUCUGAAGUCCAUAUGAGAUUAAAAUAUUAUCAUAAAGGAGAUUACUAAAAUAGUAAUAAUAUCAUCUAAAAUAAGUCAAACAGAAUAUAUUUUAAUAUUGAUGUUGGUAUUGUUCUUUUACUAUCUCAGGCAUGUCUCAACUUGAACGAUCCCUCACAAUUAGGGUUGGAGAUUGUCCAUUCAAAUUGGAAUAACAACAUUAAUAACAACAACAAUAACAAUCACAUCAUUCAACAUAAUGAUCCUUCUUCCAUUCAAAUUGAUGCAAUAACUCCUAAUGUUAAUGGAUUUAACAAUUCAAUGGAGGUUAGUACGUUCAAAGUUUUAUUGUUAUUAUUAUCGACUAAUUAACUUUAUUUGUUUCUUCUAUAAAAUUAUUUUUAUUAUAUUAUUCAUGAAAAUACACACUUCAAAUGGUGUUUUUACAAUGAUCAGGAGAAUAUCAUGGAAAACAGUAAAUACUUUGCUGAAACAACACCUGAGAAUGAUGCAUGCAAAUGGGAUGAUAUCGAUGCUUUCCUCAAUGAAGCUUUGAAUGAAGACUUUUGAAAUUUAGAUUGAUCAACCAAUGAAAAAAAACUUUUCUUUAUGUUUAGUCCAUUUAAAAGAUCACAGUCUUUUGAUAUUUUAGUAUUAUUUUACUUAUAUCAGUAUGCAAGAUAUCAUCUUAAUGUUAGUAGAGUGGCCUAUCUAAGAAUAUUCGAAAUAAAUUGUGUUAGCAAUAUAAUAUGUAUUAAUAUUCUUAUUAUUGUCCAUUUAAAUUAUAUGGAGGUUUUGCAAGAAGCUUGGAAACAAGUGGAGGGUCACCUCUAUGGAGGUUUCAUUUGAUUUAGAAGGAAAAUUGUUGACAUAUAUAUGCUACAAUUCCUUUUUAAACUUGUUUAAAACGUUUCGAUAACCUUUGAACAUCUUUGUUUAAAGCAUAGUUAUAUGAAUUUAUACCUUGAAACAAAUACUUCAUUCAACUUCAAAAGUGAUUUUGAUAAUGAUUAGAUUGACUUAUUAUAAAUGUUUUACGCUAAAAUUGCAUUUACGAACUUGGUGGUAUACUUUGAGUUCUUGCUUAAUGAUUUUACAAGAUAAGAGUCAUCUUUAAGUAAUUUACAAAUUUGAGGUUGCAAAUUCAUUUCUGAUUUAACACACAUGAGUUCUUCAUGAAAUUAUGUGUAAGACAUAUUUAGGCCUUGAAUAGAGUUCAAAAGAAACAUAAUAUCUCUUAAUGAAUCUGAAUUUUCGUGAUGACCCUCCAAGUCAUUCCUCUAUUACUGUCUUUUUUCAUCGUUUAGAGCAUCUUGCAGUGACCACAAGUCAUUUAUGACAUACUUGGAAUGAGAGUUUGGUCACCUGGUCGUUCAUUUUGAUUAUGUGAAAGUUUAUGUAUUUUGGUGCUUUUGAAAUUUGAACAGUUGACUUCGGUCAAAAGUUUAGAAAGAAGACAGCCUCAAAAUAUAAAAAUGAAAGUACUGUCACGCCAUGAGCCUACACCCUACACGUGGUCGGAACUCGAGAACCAUUUAUGAUCCCCAAGCAAACCCUUGACCUGGGUGACUACUUAGCGGAAGACUCAUUCAAGUUGUAAUAUGCUUAAAAAUAGAAUUCAAAACAUUCAAACUCAAAGUAAAUACUCAAUUCAAAAUGUCUGUAAAAUAAGCAAUAAUAUAACUAUAAUAGUUUGCAAAAAUAUCUCAAGGAAAAGUAAAUAUUGAAAGACUCUUCAACUCUGUCUAUCUAUGAAGCCUCUAAUGUUUAAGAUAGGCGUUGAGAAAAGACCCACCACGCCUCAAAACAACUAAACUGAAAGUAAAUGUGAAGUCCUCCGGAUGUCAAAGAGGCUCCCAAAGAGCUUGUUGGAGUGUAGAGUGAUCUCAACGAAGCACCUAUUGAUGAUCGUAAACACCUGUAUUUGUUUCAUAAAAAGAUGCCGGUCGAAUGACAUCAUUAUAUUUAAAUAUACGAUUAUGUAAUAUAGCUGAAUAACAAAUAAUUGAACUAAAAGGCCAGAAAUAUAUAAGAACUAUACUCAAGCAAAAUGUAAAGAAAUAAAAGACUUAAAUCAUUUAAAUCUUUACAAAAUACAUAGUCAUCUCUAAACUCAAACAUAUAAUAAGUGAUAUAUAAAAAUAAACUUUUACUCUAUUGGGAGAUUUUCUAACCGACACCAUCACUAUGAGUUACAUGAAGAUACAACUUCUUAUCCACCCUGCCAAAACAUUCCUACAUCGUGUCGAGAUAUAGAACCUCUCUACUAAGUGGAUCCACUAAGCUCUGCCCGAAUGCACUAAGGAUUCAUCUAAAAAGUAUGAUCCCAUACCCAUGAUGGCAAGAAAUGGUUUAUGGGGGCAGUGAGCUGUCUGAACUCUCUCCUAUAUCAGUGCUCAAUAAUACUCCCAAUAACAUAUACUAUUGCUCAAAUGCAUAAUAACAUAUUAUUUCUCUUGUUUGAGAUAAUUGCUCAAACUAUCCUCUUAAAAGGGUAACUGCUCUGUUUCUCUUUAAUCAAUGUAAAAAUAGAUUUUGUCUUUAAUUUUGAUAACCAAGUUGAGAAACAAUGGAGGCCCAUCUAUUGGGAUGACGACUGAGAUGUGGCACCGCAACACGUGUUGCUGUCGCAAUGGAGCUCGCAUCUCAGACAAAUUCCUUAGACAAUACUCUCUCCAUUCCAUAUUAAUUGAAUUUUUGAGGUAUUUUCCGUUAUUCAAAUUAACUUAAUUGUUCAGUUUUCAAGACUACUUUUAGAGUGUUCUUCCAAUUUUACCCUUCAUUUGGAUUUUCAAUGUCAUGACUUCAAUAAAUUUGACAAUAAUUAAUAAGGGUCAAAAUGGAAAACUAUGUUCAAUUUAUGUAUUAAUCUACUUUUCUUAAAGGGUGUAAAACAUCUCAAAAAUUCAAUCAAUAUGGAAUGGAGGAAGUAUAUUUCUUAUUCUAGACAUGUGUUGCGGUUUCAUAUCUAAAUGUGGCCUCGCAUCUUCAUUGCAUCAAUGAGAUAGACUCCAUGUAAAGAUAGGCUUGUUUAAGGCGUGCUAGCUGCGGCCACAUACACAAACUUGCGGCAAUGCAUCCUUUUAUGUAGGGUCGCAUCUCAAGUGUUUCAAUUACAUUUUUAUUUGUUUGAACUAACCAAAUCACAUGUUUGCUUGCUAACUGUUGUGAUAUAUACCUCCACUUAAAACCAUCGUAAUUACCAAGCCUAUUAUAUUAGAAGAGAGUGGCUCCUGUAAUACAUGGCAACACUAAAAGAAGGAGAACUAUCGAAGAGACUGAAAAGCGGGAGCAUAAUGCCUCUGUAAGUCCCACUCCUCCUGCACUAGUAGACACCCAAUAGCAUAGUGAAGAUACUAUAGGCUUCCCCACAAAUGAGAUUCGGCUAUCAUACUCGCUCAAGAGGAGCCUUAUUACUGAGUGGUGACUUAGCACUCGAGGGUUAUUUGGGUCCUUUCAUUGGAUUCUGAAGUAGCUCAACAAUUGUGGGUGACAAACAUUCUCAGAAGAGCCCGACAUGUUUAGUAGACGCUAUUCCAAAAUUUUUAUGCCUAUAUAAGGGAAGAGAUAGGUAUAGACACAUGAUUUUUUUAUCCUCCAUGAGUUUCAACCCAUUUUUAAAAUUUAAAUCUUUUUCAAAUCUAAUCUUUAUAUUAACUUUAAUUUCAUUUUGACGUUACUUGAGAAAAUUGAAAAUCACAAAAAAUAGUCUUUUUUUUAGAUAAUGCUUUGAUUUUUAUUUUUUAUUUGUGAGGAAAAACAAAAGUACUUACCCAAAUAUGUUUUUAUUUAUAAUUUUUUUUUUCAUUUAUGUAAUAUUUAGGUGUUAUUUUAUUCUUGAAUAUCAAAUAAAACUAAAACAGACUAAACUCAAUAACAUAUUACCACGUGUUAUAUUUCAUGUCAAACAUUAUUGAAAGCAUAUUCCAUUUAGACAAGAGAUAUUCCACUCCUGCUCUCCAAAUUUUUUAAUCUUAUCCAAAAUUCAUAUAAGGAUAUUUUAAGAAGAUUAGACCUAAAAAAAAUAGACCAUACUACCCCUAAACCUAGUAAAUAAAAUCACCAAAAACAGAGAAAACAGCUGCAACAACUAGAGAAAAAGGAAAAAAUAGUAGCUAAAAGAGGAAAAAGAGAUCCCCAAGUUCAAUUGGUCUCAAAAUCGGAUGUAAGUAUUCACUCACUUCUAUGCAUGUCUUCUAGUAAUUUUACCUGAGGUAUUAUGAAUUAUCAAGUGAGCUAGUUAUUUUAUUUUGUUGGUUAUGGGUUUCUCAUUUAAUCACCAAGUUGUGAUAUUUUAAAUUUUAUAAUCAAUGUAAAAUGUUUCCAUUUAUAUCACCAUGUGUUGACCUUUCAUUUCAUUUAUUCAUUUAUUUUUUCUUUACGAGACCUAAUCAAUAGCAUACAAAAAAUUAAAGAUUUGUUCAAGAUUCAUUGGAAAAACUAAAGAUAAGAGUGAUAAAGGAUACAAUUAAUUUCUUUGAUUUAGUAUUGCAAUCUCUGAGAUUUUAAGUUCUAAGCAAGAGAGCGCAUAAUUUAUCAUCUUAACCGAUGAUUUUGUCAUUCAAAAAUAUUCUCUGGCUCAUUCUAACUGGUAUCAAACUAUUCUUUUUGUCAUGUUAGAAAGAAACUUAAAUUGUUAAAGUCUUCAUUAUAAAUUUUGUUUCAAAUUCCUUAUAUUAGUGCUUUUGCUUCUUUUUUUUAAUCUCUUUUUAUGUCAGGUUUGUGAAGAAAAAGAGAGUGAGCAAUUAGUGCAGACAGUGUUCAAACAACAUAAACAAGAGUUGAUAGCUAAGAUCUAUCUCAGUGAGGAUACACAUAUAGAGUCUUCAUAUAUCGAAGAAAAAUUUGAAUUACCACUAUCAUCGUUAGGUUUGUCUUGAGCUAUUCUAUUAUAUGUAAAUAAAUUUUAAAUAUAAGUACAUUUGUCCAAGAUUAUUUUUGUCUUCAUGUUAUGAACUUCCCACAAUCCUACAUUAUUGCUACUCAAAAAACAAUUUAAUUUUCUCUUCAUAUGUUAUUCGUAGUAUCUAUAAAAAUGUUGAUUAAACUUUUUGCCCUUUCUUAAAAUACUCUACUAUAGACAAAAUUUUCAUUUACUAUUUUUCUCAAAUUAUUAUUCAGUUAUCUUUAUGAUAUUGAAUCUUAAAAUAUAUGAGAAGAACGAUCACUCCUAAUAUAUAUGGUAAAAAGAAAUAUAAACUAACAUGUAAAAAUUUAAGGAUCGCUAAAAUAAUGGUAAGAGAAAAAUAUAUGGUACGGUAUACUAAAAGAAUUAAUAAGGAUAAUUAAUGUCAAUAAAAGGACUCCUAAAAGAUAUAGUAAUCUAUAAUACAUUUGAACUCCUUUUCUACUUAAACAAUGAAUCAUAUAAUAACAUGAUAUUUGAUGAUAUGUAUGUUUCAACAACGUAGUAUUUGCUUCGCACCUAGUAUUAGCUUAGAUUUUUGUUUAAGAUCAAAAUGAAUGACAAAUUUAUGAUUGAUAUUUAAUCUAUUUGUAAUACUUAAUCAAAUUUAUACAUUACAAUUUUAAGAAUUAUUUAAUAAAAGAUUCAAGUUAGCUAAAUAUUUAUUCACAUUUAAGCUAAAUCUAAUUUCGAGUAUAGCUAGUGAUUCUCGAAGAAUAUGAUAUGUGAAAAUGUAUUAAAGAGGAGUGUGAAUGAACUAAUAUUAUUCACCUUAUUUGAAAAUUUUAAAGUUUGAGUUGGAGAUGGAGUGAGAAUUGUGUUGGGAAUAACAUGUACGUCUAAUGUUGAUUGAACUUCUUACCCUUCAUUAAUUUUUUUUUACAAUAGAUAAAAUUGUCAUUUACUAUUUUACUCAAAUAAUUGUCAUAAUUUUUAUGCUAAUAUUUAGGACAUGAAAUGUAAUUAAAGUUAUAGUUAUUAAACUUACUUAUUUGUAAUAUGUAAGAACUUCUAAUAUUUAUUACUUUAAAAUUGACUCAAAUUCUAUUUCUUAAAUAUUUUUUUAUUUGAACUAUAUUAAAAGUCCUAACAUUAAGACUUUAAAAUCAAUAGUUUUACCUGAUAUAAAUCUUAUUUGAAUUAUAGUAAACGAAUUAAAAAUAUUAAAGAAAGAGAUUCACAUAUUUUAAACUAAAAUUUUAACUUUCAUGUGAAAUGCUUAUCAUCUGGAUAGAUAUAACAUUUAUUUUAAUGUCGAUUGCUAUUAUAAAAUAAUUUUAUUAUUUUAAUAUAUAAUUUUAUUAAUUGAUGUAAGACACACGUGCAAAGCACGUCCACUAAAUUAGGUCUAAUGAAAAACCUAUAUUAAAAAAGAAGAAGUUAAGAUUAGAAAAAAGAACUAAGCAGAAGGAUUCAAUACUCUUAUACAUCUAGUGAUUUGAGAUCUAACAAUGAAAAUUGUUAGUAAAUCCAAGAAAGUUCUGAAAAUCUAACUAAAAAGCAUAUUUUUACAAUAGGGUAAUCUGUUGAAGGAAAAUUAGAAAAUAUAACUUGAAUGUAAAAAGCGUGUUUUCUAAAACUGGAGUCAAAAUGAAUAGUAUGGGUUGUAAAUCUAUAGGAAAAGUACAUAAUGUGCAAUUCAUUUAUAGACUUAACUAAAUCACAAAGUAAUAAAAAUAUUGUUGCCUAUAGAUUAUGCUACUUUCUUCUAAAAGUUUCUCAAACAUAUUUAGUCAAACCACCUUAUUUUUCCUAAUUCCUUUGUAAUAGCAAAAAAUAAGACUGUACACCAAUAAAAGACUAGAAUGAAAAUGGUAAAUUUUAAAGCGAAAUGCAUUGCAACUUUAAAAAAGGGAAUGGAAAGACUUCUCAAGAAAGCACAUAACUUUGAUUACAACGGGAACAUGUGUUGUCAUUCCUAUUUAUUCUCCUAGUGGUAAACUAUAAUUUUAUGAUUCCUCUAAUAAUUUUACUAUAAUAGAUGAUCUCCUAAACCAAAAUUUAGAGAAUGUUGUCGUUGAUCCAAUUGACGUGAAGACUUACGUGGUCAAUGAAAUUACAAUUUAAUAAUUUAAUAGAUCUAAGUCAUUGGUUUGAUAGUCACUAGGGAAAAGUUUAUCCAUCUUAUUUACUUUUGAAUUGCCAGUAAAGCUCGUUUUUUUCAAUAUGUGAAUUAUUCUAUUGGUUAAUUGUUGUCCUCUCAUUUUUAGUUGCUUGAUAAUUUUAGUCGUAUCUUUCAGUCCUCCAUGAUAUUAAACUAUGAAGCAUAAAGUCUUAUGGUGUACUUUUUUCCUUUCUACUUCAUCGGAUGACCUAAUAAAAUAAACUUUUCUCGGUUAAAGAAUUUGACUCUUUUCUAUUAAGUCAAUUCCUUUAAUAGAAAGUACUUUAUUUUAUUAGAAUGCCCUUAUAAGGGAGAAAAGGAAAAAUACACCACAAAAUAGACUAAAACUUGAAAGACAACAAUCAACCAUCCGAAAGACUAACAUAUUCAAAACAAAUAUACUUCACUAACAAUUCUAAAGUAAAUAAAACAAGAUGGAUAAAUUUUUCUCUAAUGACAAUCGAAUCAUUACCCAACUCUAUUUAAUUGCAAAUUAAUGAACCGUAUAAACCUUCACAUCAUCUCGAUCAACAACAAUGUUCUCUAAAUUUUGAUUUAGGAAUGUAUCUAUUGUAUUAAAAUUAUAAGAAGAAUCAUAAAAAUAUGAGUUACCACUAGGGGAAUAAACAAGAAUAACAACAUGUUCUCCCGUUGUAAUUGAAAGUUUAUGUGCUUCUUUGAUAAGUCUUGGCAUUCCCUUUUUGAAAGUUGCAAUGCGUUUUGCAUUAGACCCAAUUAUCUUCAUUUCAGUCUUUUGUCAGCGUAAAUGUUAUUUUCUACCAUUACAAAGACAUUAGAGGAAAUAAGGUGGUUUGACUUAAUAGAGUUAAGAAACUUUUAGAAGUAAAUUGCGUAAUUUAUAGGCGAAAAUAUUUUUAUUUCUUAGAUAACAACCUUAGUUUCAAACUCGAUUUGAUCAACAAAAGCAAUAUUUAGUUACUAUGCAUAUACUAAUCCAAAGUAUUAAAAUUUUACUUUCCGCACAUGUUUUAGAAAUAAAGUUCUGAUGAAUUACGACUGAGAGUAAUAUUCUCAUUAUAUUCUUUAUCGAUUUUGACCCAGCCUUAUUGGGUUUUAUUGUAACACCCCGCAACUAGAAAGAGCUAGAAUUAGAAAGAGUCAUUUUUGGAAAGAAUGAAAAAUCUGGAAAUUUGACAAAGUUAAGUUAAGAAUGAGUUUAUGGUCAACUUCAAACCACAAUAACUCCUAUCUCAGGAUGAUUUAGGUGUGCUACAAGGUACCGUAGGAAAUAUCUUUGAAUUUUCUUUCCAACGCCACAGAGUUUGAUCAGUUUUGAGUUCGUAUGAGUGAGAUAUGCCCAUUUGAAGUUGGGUUGUCUAGAUAAGGAAAGUCAAAACUAGAUUUUAGAAGGGUAUUAUGGUCUUUUCACUACCCAAUCAGCUUAAUUCGUGUUUGUUAAUUACUGAGGGGUCCAAACAGAAUUAGAUCAGUUUACGCUUUACCAAAUUACGCUAGGGUUUUUGGAGAAAGAACUCAAGAGGAGAAAGGAGAAGAAAAGGUCUAGAUUCGUCGUCUUCGUGAGGAAUUGAUUGCAGAUUUCACCAAGGAUUCAAUCCUACAUGGUAUGUGAGUUCAUAUAGCGUUGGGUUCGUUCAUCCACGCGCCCAACAUGUUUAUUUCAGUAUGAUUUUCAUCCUAAAAGAUAGAGACUUUGAUGUUCUUGAGUUGUAUUCUUGAAUUGCUUUCGUUCUUGAAUUUGGCGUGAGAUUGAAGAGUUCUUCAGAGUUUAAGGUCUAUUUUAGAGUUGUGUUUGAUUAGAUUCUUGUGUACAUAUGUUGGGUAUCUUAAUCUAAAGAGGAAUUGCGAAAUAUAAUCGAAUUUAGGUGAAUUGGGGUUAGAAAACAAAGAAGGAACAAGUCAGGCAAAUCUGGGUACCAGGUCCGCGUCGCGGACCUAUUCCUCAGGAUUGAAAAAAUUUUCUCCGCGUCGUGGAGUGAUCACGGACCUUUCUGCCUCAAAAAUUAUUUCGCGACCAAAUAAGUAAAAGUUGUCCGCAUCGCAGACUUGCUUACAGACAUUGAUUUCUUGAUCUUUUCUCAUGUUUAACUAUCUAAAAACACUCCUAAACAUCAUGAGAUCUUUCCUAUCACAAACCACAAUCCUUGAAUCUAUAAUUCAAUUCAAGGAAAGUUAAGAGAAGUUAAGAGACAAGUCAAGAGAAGUUCAUUGAAUUUUCCAAAAGUCCUUCACAAAUAUUUUAACUUUGUUUUAAGACAAAAGCUUUGAGUUGAGUAAAGAGUAAGAGUAAAAUUCAUUUUUUCAAAGAUUAUACGGGAACUAAGUAUUCCCAAGAGUUAAAAUGUUUUCACAUUUGAGCAAUAAAGGAAACACUGAUUUCCAAGAGAGUUUUUAAGCUAAGUUUUGACUAAUUAUCUCAAACCAAAGAAAGAGUUUUGUUUUAAAAAAUAUGAGCUGAGUAUAUUUUUGGGGAGUAGUAUUGAGCACCGAUAUGGGGACGCGGAUUCAUAAUAACUCAAGUCUCCAUAAACCAUGUAGCCAUCAUGGGUAGAAAAAAGAUCAUACUUUUUAGAUGAUUCCUAAGUGUUGUUUAGCAUAGACUAGUGGAUCCACUUAGUUAAGGCGUUUUAUAUGACGACAAAAUAUAGAACAAUUCUGGUAGCGUGGGCAAGACGUUGUAUUAUCACUUAGGCUCAUAGUGGUGGUUGUCGGUUAGAGAAACUCCCACAAUAUUAUAUUACUUUAUAUGUAAACCAAGUUGUUAUUGCAUUUCUUUAGCAAAUUGAGUUGCUACCUCUUGUUUUAAAAGCUUUGUAUAACUGCACUAUUAUUGUUGUUUACUUUGCAUUUGAGUUGAGUUAUUUCAUGAGUUGAGUAAAGCAAAGGUAAGUGCUCUUUUCAGAUUCCUUUCAAGCUUAUGUCUUGUUUAGUAUUCCUCUCGCAUACUCGUACUUUCAAUGUACUGAAGUCAUUUGGCAUGCAUCGUUUUAUGAUGCAGCCACAGGUAACUAGGAUCAUCAUCCAGCGCCUCAUUGAUCCAGUUGAGUUCAGAGUCAGUUGGUGAGCCUCCUUGCUAUCUGAAGGACUCCUUUUACUUUGUUUUUAGUAUUUAAGUUGGUAGGAUGAUCGGGGGUCCUGUCCUGACAUCCCUCUUUAUUUUAGAGGCUUCAUAGACGAGUAGUUAUAGUUCUUUAGUCUUUUCGUUUUUAGUUGAAUACGUUUAAGGCUUGAGUUGCCAUUUUGGCUAAGUUUAAUAUUUUUUUAAGAUAUUGCAUUAAUUAUCAUUUUUAGACUAUUUCUUGUGUUUAAACUUCCGCUGAGUAAGUAGGCCAGACCAAGGGUUUGCUUAGGGCCAACAAUGGUUCUCGAGUGCCAGUCCCGCCCAUAGUGUAGGCUCAGGGCGUGACAAACUUGGUAUCAGAGCACAGAGGUCAAGAGUCCUAGGGAGUCUAUGAAGUCGUGUCUAUAGAGUCCUAGUUAAUAGUGUGCAGCGCACCACAUCUAUAAUUAGGAGGCUCCAACACUUAGGAAAUUACCUUACUUCUUUCACACUCAUUUCGUUCAUUAGAGUUUGAUUUCAAAAAAGUUUCUUCUAAUUUGUGCUUGUGCGUGUCUUUCAGUUAAUUAUGCUUCCACGAAGAGCUGUCCGAGGUCGUCCUACAAGGAGGAACGUUGAGGAGCAAGGGGUACCUAAUGCACCUGAAGUGCAACCCCAAGGAGAAGUCACGAUUGUUGAGUUCAGGGAAACGAUUCGAAUGUCAAUCCAAGCUGUAACUAACUAGGUUGGGCAAAAAAGAGGAGCUAGACAGGAAGUGGCUGAUACUUCGAGGAUCCGAGAGUUCUUGAGGAUGAAUCCUCCGUGUUUCACUGGUUCAAGCACUACUGUGGACCCAAAGAGUUUUGUUCAGGAACUGAAAAAUUUAUUUGAGGUUAUGCACGUUGUCGAUGUUGAGAGAGUAGAACUAGCUGCAUAUUAACUGAAGAAUGUUGCUAGGACUUGGUUUGACCAGUGGAAGAAGGGUAGAGUUGAGGGAGCACCACCUGCGAGUUGGGCUUGUUUUGAGAAGGCUUUCUUGGGGCGUUUCUUUCCCCGAGAUCUGAGAGAGGCCAAGGUACGAGAGUUUCUCACCCUUAAGCAGGAUUCACUAACUGUUCAUGAGUACAGUUUGAAGUUCACCUAACUUUCCCGAUAUGCUCCGGAGAUGGUUGCGGAUAUGAGAAGUAGGAUGAGUCUUUUUGUUGUUGGGUUGUCCCUUCUGUCAAGAAAAUAGGGCAAGGCAGCCAUGCUAAUUGGGGACAUGGAUAUAGAAAGGUUGAUGGUCUAUGUGUAGCAGGUUGAGGAAGAGAAGCUGAGGGAUAAAUAGGAGUUUAGAAACAAGAAAGCGAAGACACAGAAUGAGUCCGAGCAGCAAAGAAAUAAUGCGAACUUGUCUUCUUUCUAACAAAAGCAAAAGAGACUUGCUCAAUGAUAUGCUAGUGCAUCUGCACCCAGAAACAAAAGUGAGUACAAUAGUUAUAAUUCAUAACACUUCAGGGCUAGACCUGCACAGUCUUAGGGUAGUGUGGCACAAAGGGGUAAUUGUGCUCUUGCAUGUGCUAAGUGUGGUAGGACCCACCCAGGUCAAUGUCACGAUGUCUCUACAGGUUGUUUCAAGUGUGGACAAGAGGGUCACUUCAUGAAAGAGUGCCCUAAGAACCGACAAGGUAAUGGAAAUCAGGGCAAUAGAGCAUAAUCUUUAUCAGUUGCUACACCAGAUAGGGCUGCACCUAGAGGAGCAACUUCUAGUACUGGCGGAGGAGCAAGUUGCCUUUAUGCGAUCACGAAUCGUCAAGAGCAAGAGAAAUCUCCAGAUGUUGUCACGGGUAUGAUCAAAGUCUUUACUCUUAACGUUUAUGCUUUGUUAGACCCAGGAGCAAGUUUAUCUUUUGUAACUCCUCAUGUUGCAAAUAAUUUUGAUGUUCUUCAUGAGAAACUUUGUGAACCCUUUUGUAUUUCUGUACCUGUUGGGGAGUCUAUUUUAGUUGAGCGAGUAUAUAGUGAUUGUGUUAUUUCCAUCAAUCACAAGAACACCAUGGCUGAUUUAGUUGAGUUAGACAUGGUAGAUUUCGAUGUCAUUCUUGGUAUGGACUGGCUUCAUGCCUGUUAUGGCUCCAUUGAUUGUAGAACUCGAGUUGUUAGGUUCCAAAUUCCUAAUGAGCCAAUUAUAGGGUGGAGUAGUAGUUUAGCAGUGCCUAAGGGUCGUUUCAUUUUCUUCCUCAAGACGAGAAAAUUAGUUUCCAAGGGGUGUGUCUAUCACUUAGUCCGAGUUAAUGACCCUAGUGUUGAGAUACCUCAUAUUCAGUCAGUUUCAGUAGUAAAAUAGUUUCCAGAAGUCUUUCCAGAUGAUCUUCCCGAAGUCCAUCCUGAGAAAGAAAUAGACUUCGGUAUAGACAUUUUUCCAAAUACUCGUCCUAUAUCUAUUCCGCCAUAUCGAAUGGCUCCAGCAGAGUUGAAAGUUCUAAAAUAACAGUUGAAAGAUUUCCUUGAUAAGUGUUUUAUUCGACCAAGUUUGGGAGUACAUCUCGCUUUUAGCUCGAAUGCAUGACUCAUAUGAAUAAGAGUGCAUUCUUUCAAAUUUCAAGACUUAAGCAUAAUCACGGGCUUUUCAUGCCCCUCUUUAGUCUCAUGACUUUUUGAAGACUUUUUCUUAGAGUGACUUAUCGAUAAGGAUCUAGGCUUUGCUUUUCGACUACCUUGAGUAUGAAGGGGUAGUUGAAUGGAUUUUGAGAAACGCACCAGUUUGAAUGUCUUUCUUAUGGCACAGUUCUAUUGCAUGAUUUAAAGUAUGGAAUAAGGGAAGGUUUUCUUAAAUGUGUGCAGUCCCUCAUUUAUAGAAGUGGGGCCCUAAAAACAAUAAACAAGAUACUCAUGACAUGACUUCAUAAACACCCUAGUACACUCGAACGUUGUGCUCUGAUACCAAGUUUUUCACACCCUAAAACUACACCCUAAAAGUGGCCAUCACUCGAGAACCAUUUUUUAUCCCAACGCGAACUCUUGGCUUGGUUAACUACUUGGCGAAAGACUCAUUCAAGUGGUAAUAGGCUUAAAAUAGAAUUUUGAACAUUUAAACUCAAAGUAAAUACUCAACUCAAAAUAUAUGUAAAAUACUCUAUAACUUAAGUAUAAUACUUUGAAAAAAACAUCUUAAGGAACAGUAAAUACCGAAAGACUCUUCAACUCUAUCUAUCUAGGAAGCAUUUAAUGUUUAAGAUAAGUGUCGAGACAAGACCCACGAUGCCUCAAAAUAACUAAACUGAAAGUAAAUGUUAGUUCCUCUGUAAUUCAAGGAGGCUCACCAAGAGCUAGCUUGAGUGUAGAGUGAUCUCACCGAAACGUCUAUUGAUAAUUUUAAACACCUGUAUCUACAUCAUAAAAUGAUGCAUGUCGAGUAACAUCAGUACAUAUUUGAAUGUACGAGUAUGUAAUAUAGGUUAAUAACAAAUUAUGGAACUGAAAGGACUGCAAUAGAUAAAAACUAUACUUAAGCUAUAUGUAAAGAAAUAAAAGAGUUAAAUCACUUAAAGCUAUACAAAAUACUAACUCAUUUAUGAACUCAACCUAAUAAGUGAUACAUAUUAAUACAUUUUUACUCUAUUGGGAGAUUCUCUAAUCGACAACCAUCAGUAAAAGAUACGUGAUGACACAAAAUCUUGUCCACGUUGCUAGAACUGUCUAAUAUCAUGCCGGGAUAUAGAACCUCCCAACAAAGUGUAUCCACUAAGCUAUGCCCGAAGACACUAAGGAUUCAUCUAAAAAGUAUGAUUAUGUACCCAUGUUGGCAAAACAUGGUUUAUGUGGGUUGUGAGUUGUCAGAACUAUCCCCUAUUUCAUUGCUCAAGACUACUCCCAAUAAUAUAUAUACUCUUGGUCAGAUUUAUAAAAACAUAUUCUUUCUCUGAUUUGAGAUAAUUUCUCAAAUUAUCCUCUUAAAAGAGGUAACUACUCUGAAAUAUCAAUGAAACUCUUUGCUUAUUUAGAAAACAAUGUUUCUCUUUGCUCAAUGUAAAAAUACAUUCUAGGUUGAGAUAAUUACUCAAAAGGGGCCUCUUUUAGAGGUAGCUGUUCUAUACUCAAUAUUUUUGAAAAUUCUUUUAAAUUUUUAAAAUAAGUAUUUUCUUUCUUCAUGUUAAAAUGAGUCAUUUGGGAAAUACUUAAAUCCCUUAUACUCUUUAUCAAACUCCUCUUAAUUUCCUCAAAACUCAGUUCAAAACAACAAUGUUGGCUUUAAAAGAUUCUCAAGAUUUAUAACUCAUAAUAGAGUUCAUGGUGAAAUAUAGACAUGAAUGAAUCAAUUCCGGGAUCUCAAUAACAUUAUAGAAAACUCAAUACUUAGAACACAAAAACUCAGAACUCAAUGAUACUACCCAUCUCAAGAAUACUCAAUUUGUAGGGUUCAUGCUGAAAUA
rnacentral:lncRNA from 1 species